UUUUUUUUCUUUUAUGGUGUUAUUAGUGUGGUAUUUUUUUUCUUGAACUGGUAGGUUCUAUUACUAGUGUGGUACAGUUUAGAGCCACUGCAAUGGAAAGCAUGAAAGUAUCCAUCCUAAUCGCCAAUUCCACCAAUUCAUUUGCCAUUUUUACGGGUAAUUCCUUUAUUAAUGUUAAUUCAUCUAUAUUUAUAUCUAUAUCAAUAUAAAAAGACCCAAAGAGGCAGAUCCAAUUUAUCUUGGUCAUCAAACUAAGUCAAUCCAACGACUUAGUCUGCUCCAAUGGCGAGCGUUCAACAUGUUUAACGUGCAAUUAAUAUCAUGCCAAACAUUGUACUAAUCACGGAAUUAACACGGAAAUAAUAGCAUACCUAAUAUCCGCGUGCAAUUAAUAUAUUGCCUAAAUAUUAACGUGCGUUGCACGUGCACAUUUACUAGUGUUGAAGUAGUGCGCUAACGUCAAAAAAGGUUUUUUAGGUUAAAAAAGAUGAGGGUUGUACUAGUGCCCUUGCUAGCCAACCUGAUAUAGCCUACAAUCACCUUUUUAGAAGAAUCGCCCACAAUCGCUUAACUAUCUAAAGAAAAAAGGCCCAAGGCCCAGAUCGCAAAAGAAAAACGGUUCAUCCUUCUUCCUGAAGACACGGUCACGUUCUGUGCUCUUUUAAUGACAUAUUCGACGGUUAGGGAUAGAGGUGCUCUGAGGAGCAACUAGUUAACGAGCGCUACUUCGGGAGCCUCGUAACGAUUACCGUCACAUGUUGCGCUCUGGGUGAUCCUUUUGAAUUUUUUUUUAUGCACACGUUUCGACUUUUUAAAUGUUAUUUUUUUGACUUUUCGGUUUUUCAUCGGUCUUCCUUAGCUUUUGGACAAAAAAAAUUGAAAUUUUUUUUGGGCAAAAAACGUGUUUUCUUUGCUUCCGCGAUAGGCACGGUUUUGCUUCCGCAAGAGGCACGGGUUUGCUUUCAUGAGAGGCACGGCUGUGCCUCUCGGAAAUGAAAAAAAAACGCGUUUUGUGUGUUUUUUUCUUCCGCGAGAGGUACGGUUUUGCUUUCGCGAGAGUCUCGGCCUUGCCUCUCGGAAACGGAAAAAAACCGUGUUUUCUAUUUCUUUUUUCUUCUACGAGAGACACGGUUUUAUUUCCGCGAGAGACAUCGAGGUAGUGGAGAAUGCUUCCUCGCGCCUUCACGACGAUCGCAAAGGGGAAGCACCGCCAAUGCGGCCUAGCUGCAACUAGCACGGCUAGGAGGUGGCGGCUCCGACUCAUCCUUCACGCGGCAAGGCGAUGGCGACAUGCGCUCCUCCUUCACGUGACGUCCGAUUUGGAUGCAGCGAAUGCAUGGAAGGGGUGGGAGAGAAGGGAGGGAGGGAGGCUCCGCCUUCAUCCGUCGGCGAGGAGGAGAAUGGCACGAGCGGACUGUGGUCAUGGUGGAGCGAGCGCCGGAGCAUCAGCUCCAUCUGCGCUUCGCAUUCCUCCGCCGUCGUGGUGGCCUACGAGAGGAGGUGCGGCUGUUGCUGCGGCUUGUACUCCUCGUCGCUGGGGGAGAUAAAGAUAUCCACCUUUGUGGAGGAGCCGACAGCCAUGGAGGAAGAGGGCCCCGGAGAGCAAGGAGGGCGACGCCAUGAUCCGGAGCCGGAUCCGGAUCCACCCGCCGGUGUCGAGGCCCAAGACUUGCCCAUCGAGGGUGAGUGGAGGAAGAUGGGAGCGGGGGUGGUGCACGGAGAUGUGGAGAGUGCGAUGGGGACGUCUCGGCGUCGUGCUGAAAUAGCUGCGGUCAGGAGAAUGGACAGCAAACCCGCUUCAAUGCGGCGUAGCAGCUGGAAUUGGUUUCUCGGGACGAUGUGUUCGGAGUGAAGUGACGCCCCCGCCUGGUCACGUCGGUCAAUGCCUCCCACCCGUCCGGUUAUAUCCGCGGCAUCAAUGUCGGCCGCUGCUGCUAUGGGCCGGCAUGUAUGCAACACGUUCGUUGAAGAGAUAGCACGGGAGAGGGUUUUGGGUAGGACCUGGGUGUCAGACACUACACGGUCCACACUUCCGCAAAGCCCUGCUUGUUGUUUGCUUUCAGUUUACGAGAAAACAGAUGUUUGGAUGGUCUGUGGAUGGAUGGGGUACCGUGUUGAAUGGCAAAAUGUGGCCGGACCGUUCGGUGUGUAAGCGUUGUUAAUGCCCUAAGUGUGUGAAGUGUAUGAAAGGCUUGCCACCUCAACUUACCGUGCAUAGGUGCUUAGCUUUUUGUUUAUAUGCUUUCUUAAUAUACUUACUUGUAGAUUUAGAUUUUUUUUAAACACAGUACAGACGCAUGUGCUCAUAUAUACGCACAUACACUCAUAUCUAUGGACACACACACGAAGUCAUCAAAGGUGCCUCGUAGUUGAUGGAACGUCUCCUCCCAUCGAACAUGCAUCGCCGAAGAUCCUGAAGUAAAUCCAAAAAUUAAUGUGAGCACCAGGAGUUGAACCCUGAUGGACUAGGAAUACCAUUGUCUUCCUAACCAUACAACCACAAGUUGGUUCGCGUUGUAGAUUCGGAAUUAUUAUUUUUUCACUUAAUUACACAUGGUUAACAUCGUUUCUUCCUAGAUUCAUCAAACUAUGAUCUUUGUUCAACUUGUCACAUGAGAUUUUAUGUGUACCUGCAACCUUACGUCUCCUUUGGUUUAUAGGAAUUUUGUAGAAAUUGUAAAGGAUAGAAACUUUGUAGGAAAAAUUACUUUGAAGUCUUUUGGUGUGUAGGAAUGGAUUACUAUUCCUACAUAGGAUAGGAUUCAAUCCUUCAUAUUUUAUGGGAAAAAUAUUAGCCUAGGCUCAAUGAAAAAAAUCAUUGUCCUAUGUAUCAUUGAUAUGUCUUUCUUCAUAGGAAUUGAGAUUCAUGUUAUCUCACUUCAUAUGAUUUUUCUAUUUCUAUACUAUUUUUAUCCUAUGAACCAAAUGAGGCAUCUCGACGAGAUGGAGAAAUUGGGAAAGACCUUGCUGGCAGUGGGAUUUGUGUGCGAUUGAGAGUUUGCUCACUAGUCACCACUCAUACCAAAUGGUUCCAUUUUGUUACUUCUGCUUUUAUUUCUUUUCAUCACACAAGAAGUAAAAAUGGCGGCAUGCAAGGACUGAUAAGACCUCCUCCAAUGUACUGUAUUUGUGCUUAGGUGAGAUUCUAAGUGCAUUAAUUGUCUUAGCAAUUAAUGUCAUCAAUGCAUGAUUCUUUAUCAGCAAAACUCCUCUAUGCAUUGGUCGGUAGACAUUUUAUAUAGGUUCACGUGCUUAGACUAGUCAUAGUGAGGAGUAACUUAGACUAGUAACAUGCAUAUGUUACUAGCCUAUAUUACUACCUCCAUAGUGGGUAGUAACAUGGUUGUGGUAUCAUAUAAGUCUUCAUUUAUUUAGGUGUAGACUCACCUUGUCUCGGGUUGCGGGUAACAUAUUAUGUUACCCCAAACCUCUCUUUCCUCAUUAAUUACUUGCCACAUAAGCAAAUUCUUCUUGAUAUGCGUUAUGUUACUAGCUAAGUUACUCUUACUAUGACUAGUCUUAGAACCGUUUUCUUCUAGAUCAUCAUAAUGCUCUUUCUUUUUUUAAUUACUUUGCCACAUCAUUUUUUUAUCUAUAAGGCAUCCUUAGCAUCCAUACACGAUGGAGCAUUGAGAGGGGCCUUAGAAACGACAGCGGCGUCGUUGUUCACACGCCCUCCGGGGCACUCCGCUGAUACGAACACACUGGUUGAGUAGCUUUGCAAAGCGAGAACGUACUGGCUGAAAACUGCGCGCUUCGAUCGGCCGCACUAGUAGACAGAGACAGACAAACAGAGAUCGUCCCCGUCGGAGCUGGAGCUCGCAUCACUGUUACCCAGCCGCAUUCGACCGAUCGGGGUGGCCGGGAGAGAAGCGAGCCACCUGGCACGGCCAGCGAGAUAGAGUCGAUCGAUCGCAGCCACGGCGGUGCGCCGUCGAGCCCUCUGCCCGGCUUGCGUUGCGCCGCGAGCCGCUUUCCGCCCUCGAUUGGCGCGUUGUGCGGGUAGGAACGAGUGGUUUGGUUGGUGCGUGGAAUGGUCGGUGGUGGGCUCGCGCCGGCCGGUGCUCCCGUCUCCGGGGGAGGUCGACCGGCCUCUCUCUCCCCCGCGCGCGCGCGUUCCACCAACCGGUCCAAGCAGAAUCCGCCGGUCUCGCCCGGGCCAGCACGUACGCCACCACGCCUUGGGCGCACUCGCGUCACACGUUCCCUUGACCCGCCGGGAACUCCGACGUGCACAAACUGCCAGGGUUCGAUCGACCGUCCGGUGAUCCGGGGUUUGACACGGCGGCGAACUCAGCACCCGACGUACAGGAGCAAAAUGCUGCUUCGUCUCUCGCGCGCUCUGCGGAGGCCGGCCCGGGGCCUCGCGUGGUCCACCAAACAGUCAAACCGAAUCCGCCGUCUCAGUCAGGUGAAUAGGAGUGAGAGUGCUGUCACGACAAUUCUUACAAACUCAUACAUAUAUGUAGUAUUCCUCCGUCUCAAAAUAAGUGUCUUAACUUUAUACCAACUUUAAUACAAGGGCAUGGUUAGGUCUCAGUCGACUGAGAUUUAACCAAGUCUAAGUCAAGUGAUAUAACAUGCAAGAAAACAAACUAAAAAAAAAAUUUGCACGGAUCUCAAUGGAAAAUCUCAUGGAUAUAGCAUCGACUGAGACUUAACGAAGUCUUAGUCGACUGAGACUUAGCAAGACUGUUAAUACAAAUUUGCAUUAAGAUCAAGACAGUUAUUUUGGUACCGAGGGAGUAUAUGCGUGGAAAGUGUGAUCAGUCCAAUGCAGUGCACUCUCUUAAUGCCUUUUCACAUGGGAUGCACCGCAAGGUGCUCUUGUGUAAGAGGAGCAUUUCCAACAGGCGCGCGAUAUUUGCGGCGCGCCGAAAAAACCGCCAGUUUGGCGCGCGAGAGGUUGCGCGGCGCGCUUCAGUAAGCGCGCGAAAUAAAUUAACGUGCGUGGUAGUUUGCUGUGCGACGGCCAUCGCGCUGGUUAAAAGCCGCACGUCUGCGCCCGCCAACCGCCAGAAAGUCCCCUCCCACCGCGCCUUCUUCCCCCGCCUCUUCCAGCGCCCCUCCGCCCCCGUGCCUUAUCCCUCAACCUNNNNNNNNNNNNNNNNNNNNNNNNNNNNNNNNNNNNNNNNNNNNNNNNNNNNNNNNNNNNNNNNNNNNNNNNNNNNNNNNNNNNNNNNNNNNNNNNNNNNNNNNNNNNNNNNNNNNNNNNNNNNNNNNNNNNNNNNNNNNNNNNNNNNNNNNNNNNNNNNNNNNNNNNNNNNNNNNNNNNNNNNNNNNNNNNNNNNNNNNNNNNNNNNNNNNNNNNNNNNNNNNNNNNNNNNNNNNNNNNNNNNNNNNNNNNNNNNNNNNNNNNNNNNNNNNNNNNNNNNNNNNNNNNNNNNNNNNNNNNNNCUCGGUCACAGAUGAAUUUCUCCCACGUGCGGACGCGCGAGCAGACGCAGGAUCUCGUGCCUCCUCCGUGACUAAUCAGCAACGAGGAUCGCCGCCUCCAGCGGAGGCGGGAGCACCGCCUCCUCAUCGCCAAGGCGGACGAGCAUGCCAUGGUGGUGUGGCGUGAGUGCUUCCCGCAGAAUGUCACCGCAGAGAACGAGUUCUGGGCGCAGAGGAGGGCAGAGCGAGACGUGCGUCGGGCGGACAAGCGUGCGCGGAAGGAACUGGCGAAAGCCUAGAUCGAGCUGGGACCUGCGUCGACCUGGGAUGAUGAAGAUCCUCAGUGGCUCGACGCGUUUACACCGUUGAACUACACCACCGAGGAGGACGGGGAGUAGUCUAGCAUCAUUUUAUCUAUUUUUAUUUAGCAUCGUAUGAACUUGCUCGUGGUUUGGGGCUUGAGCUAUGCUAUGAAUUUGAACUAUGAAUGUUUUCGUAUGUGUUGUUCCAUAUUUUUUUUCCAAAUGCCAGCUGGUCGCGCGCGCUGAACUUUACAGCGCCUGGUGAAGCACUACAGCGGCUCACUAAAUUUUGUAGCACCUGAAAAAGUAACCAUCCUUCAACGCGCGCUAAAACGCUAUUUCGACGCUGCAAAUUUUUUCUAGCGCGCUGCGCUACCGCACACCCGUUGAAGAUGCUCUAACAAAGAGACAGGAAAAAAAUAGCAACUCUGCUCCCACGCGAAAAUAUGAAGCUGGACAGCGUAGGAUUCGACAGGGAUGAGAAGGGAGCAGCGAGACACGAGACACAAGCUGGAUUGAUGGUGUCACCAAACUUGUUAGUACAUGUGUGUGACAAGCGACAAUCACUUGAAAGAUAGUACUUACCGUGAGUUAGAGCAUCCACAGUGUGCCCUUUUGCUGCCUCUAUAGCUGCCUCUAAUCCUUUACUUCGCCGAUGACCCAGUCUUCAGCCCCAAGCAAUUUCGUCGAAGGUAUAGAAUGAGAAAGCAUCGAUUUGAACAUAUUGUGCACACACUUGGUGAUUGGUCACCUUACUUUAGUCAAAGGUAUGAUGGCUUUGGCAAGAAAGGGUUUUCACCAUUGCAAAAGUGUACAGCAACUAUGCGGAUGUUAGCCUAUGGUGUCCCAGCAGAUUAUAUCGAUGACACUCUAAGUAUGGCUGAAACCACAUCCCUUGAGUGCUUGAGAGAAUUUGCAAAAGGCAUUAGAGAAAACUUUGGUGAAGUAUAUUUGCAAAGAGAGCCUUGGCUCAGUGGUUGGGCAUGCGGUUGUGCAGUCUAACGGCCCGAGUUCAAUUUCUAGAAUUGACAGGUGAUGCACAGGGGUUUUCCCCCAUUUAUUUAGGAUCAAGUUUGAUGUGUGGUUGAUACUCGUUUAAAAAAAUUAUGAGGAUCAUGUUUAUCUUGGUACUCAUACUAAAAUGACCGUAUGCAUCCCUAGUUGGUGCAGAGGCCAGGGAAGUGAAAUUCUCCCCCAAUUUUAAGCUUAGCUUCCUCCAGGGCGACUCGGGCGGGGCAUCUCACAGGGCUCCUCACGGUCCUCCAGGAAAAUAGGAUCAGCCCCCGCGUCGUCCUCCUCCAGGGCGACUCGGGCGGGGCAUCUCACCCCCCGGCGCAAGGCCUCCUACCGGCGUUCACCCAUCCGCCGCUGCCUAACGCAUCCCCGGGAAAAGCCCGCUCGGAUCUGGCGGCGGCGGGCCGCGGCUCUUAGGGCAUCGUCACCCCUCGAAAUGGGGUAUCGGGUGGUGGCCGACGGCACGGCGCUGCCCCGGAGCGCGUCGCCGAGCUCUGAGGUGGAGGGGACGACGGUGGUUGCGGGCGGAUGCCGUCGGCCCGGUGCUUGGGCGUGUUCGUGAGGCCCGGUGGCUGGCUACCGGCCAUGGUCGCCGGGAUGCGGACGGCGUGAUGGCGGGUGCGGCACGCCGGCAACUGGGCGGAGACGCCCUUGUCUGGGUCCUUGACACCGCGGGCAACUCCGGGGGAAACCCAAGAUCUCAUUGCGAUCGAGCGAUGGCGGUGCUUUAGUGUCGUAGUCCCUCUUGAGGGCAUCGUUUUUGGAGUUUGCUCAGGUUCAAGGGGCCAGCGACGCCGGAGUGAAGGAAAUAUGCCCUAGAGGCAAUAAUAAAGUUGUUAUUUAUAUUUCCUUAUAUCAUGAUAAAUGUUUAUUAUUCAUGCUAGAAUUGUAUUAACCGGAAACUUAGUACAUGUGUGGAUACAUAGACAAAGAGAGUGUCCCUAGUAUGCCUCUACUUGACUAGAUCGUUAAUCAAAGAUGGUUAAGUUUCCUAGCCAUAGACAUGUGUUGUCAUUUCAUGAACGGGAUCACAUCAUUAGAGAAUGAUGUGAUGGACAUGACCCAUCCGUUAGCUUAGUAUUAUGAUCGUUUAGUUUUAUUGCUAUUGCUUUCUUCAUGACUUAUACAUGUUCCUCAGACUAUGAGAUUAUGCAACUCCCGAAUACCGGAGGAACACCUUGUGUGCUAUCAAACGUCACAACGUAACUGGGUGAUUAUAAAGAUGCUCUACAGGUGUCUCCGAUGGUGUUUGCUGAGUUGGCAUAGAUCGAGAUUGGGAUUUGUCACUCCGUGUAUCGCAGAGGUAUCUCUGGGCCCUCUCGGUAAUGCACAUCACUAUGAGCCUUGCAAGCAAUGUGACUAAUGAGUUAGUCACGGGAUGAUGCAUUACGGAACGAGUAAAGAGACUUGCCGGUAACGAGAUUGAACUAGGUAUGAUGAUACCGACGAUCGAAUCUCGGGCAAGUAACAUACCAAUGACAAAGGGAACAACGUAUGUUGUUAUGCGGUUUUGACCAAUAAAGAUCUUCGUAGAAUAUGUAGGAGCCAAUAUGAGCAUCCAGGUUCCGCUAUUGGUUAUUGACCGGAGAUGUGUCUCGGUCAUGUCUACAUAGUUCUCGAACCAGUAGGGCCCGCACGUUUAACGUUCGAUGACGAUUUGUAUUAUGAGUUAUGUUCUUUGAUGUAUCGAAGUUUGUUCGGAGUCCCGGAUGAGAUCACGGAUAUGACGAGGAGUCUCGAAAUGGUCGAGACAUAAAGAUUGAUAUAUUGAAAGGUUAUGUUUGGACACCGGAAAGGUUUCGGAAAGGUUCGGGCAUUUUCCGGAGUACCGGGGAUUACCGGAACUCCCCCGGGGAGUUAAUGGGUCUUCAUGGGCCCUAGUGGAGAGAGGAGCUGGUGGCGUGCGCCCCUCCAAGCCCAAACCGAAUUGGACUAGGGUUGGGGGGCCAACCCCCCUUUCCUUCUCUCCUUCUCCUCUUUCCCUCCUCCUAGUGGGAAUAGGAAAGGGGGGGGGCAAAUCCUACUUGGAGCGGGAGUCCAAGUAGGACUCCCCCCAUGGUGCGCCCCCCCUUGGGCCGGCCACCUCUCCUCCCCCCUUUAUAUACGUGGGAGGGGGGCACCCCAAAGGCACACCAAGCCUUCUCUUAGCCGUGUGCGGUGGCCCCCCACCACAGUUACACACCUCGGUCAUAUCGUCGUAGUGCUUAGGCGAAGCCCUGCGCCGGUAACUUCAUCAUCACCAUCGCCAUGCCGCCGUGCUGACGGAACUCUCCCUCGGCCUCAACUGGAUCAAGAGCUCGAGGGACGUCAUCGAGCUGAACGUGUGCUGAACACGGAGGUGCCGUACGUUCGGUGCUUGAAUCGGUUGGAUCGCAAAGACGUUCAACUACAUCAACCGCAUUACUAAACGCUUCCGCUUUCGGUCUACGAGGGUACGUGGACACACUCUCCCCGCUUGUUGCUAUCCAUCUCCAAGAUAGAUCUUGCGUGAUCAUAGGUAAAAAAAUUUGAAAUACUGUGUUCCCCAACACGGAGGUGCACGGCCUGGUGGCGCGACUGCCGAUGAAAAUCGUGCCGACUUUGGUCAUGGCGGACGAUGGCGGCGUCUCCGAUGUCGUUUCCUUGUUGAGGAAUCGUCGUUGCAGUUUGCGUCAUCAUGCUCGGGAUGCUCCGAGGGAAACCCUAGAUCUGGGCUUCCCGGAUCGGACGAUGACGACGCCUUUCGUGUCGUCCUCCCUCCUGAGGGCAUCGUUUUGGAGCAAGUGCUGGUUGGAGGGGACUACUGGAGGAGCGGUGUUACAUCUACCGCAAGGCCGGCGGCGGAUCCCGGCGGCAUGGCGCCAUGGAGGUUUGAUGAUGGGCGCAUUGGAGAUGGACUCGCGCAGGAGGAGGAAGCUGUCUGGCGUCAUGGUGGCGUUGAUGGCAGAGAGGCCUGGCAAGGUCGGUGCAUCAGUUCUGCUCUGAGGAUGGACCGAGAGAAGAUGGAGGUGACGGCCCUUGCAGCGUGCGGUGCUCACUGGGAGUGUGCCAGACCGGUGUGGGACUCAAUCCAGGUAGUGGCUUGGAUGGGACACCCGACUUUAGAUGUUAGGCUUUGGUGCGAUGUCUGUUUGGUAUUAGGCCCGGACAUAUUUGGCACGCCUUCAUCAAGGGGUCAGGAGUAGCAACAACGUUGCCAUGAUGGUGGCUUCUGGCUUAUUGAUGUAUCAUCUUGUAUGGUCUUUGUGAAUAAUUAAUAAUAUGGCUGCAUGCAUCGUCCAGAUGCAGAGGCCGGAGGUACAUCCUCCUUUUCUAAAAAAAAUAUUUACGAAGACCUACUGAAGAAGAUGUUCAACGUUUACUUCAUAUAGGAGAGGCUCGUGGAUUCUCUGGUAUGCUAGGAAGUAUUGAUUGCAUGCAUUGGGAGUGGAAAGAUUGCCCUGUCUCUUGGAAGGCGCAGUUCACUCGUGGUGAUUAUGGAGUAUCAACAAUCAUGCUAGAAGUUGUUGCCUCACAUGACCUAUGGAUAUGGCAUGCUUACUUUGGUGUUUCAGGCUGCAACAAUGAUAUCAAUGUGCGUAUCCAAUCCCCUGUAUUCACUCAAGUACUGCAAGGAAGGGCUCCACAAGUUAAGUUUGCAGUGAAUGGCAAUGAUUAUGAUAUGGGUUACUACCUAGCGGAUGGGAUUUAUCCUGAGUGGGCAACAUUUGUGAAGACAAUCCGCUUGCCCCCAACUGACAAGACAAAACUGUCUGCAAAGAUGCAAGAAGGUGCAAGAAAAGAUGUUGAACGUGCAUUUGGAGUUCUACAAUCUCGAUUUGCUAUUGUACGUGGUCCGGUCAAUCUUUGGUAUAGGCAAGAUAUUGCUGAUAUCAUGUAUGCAUGUGUUAUAUUGCAUAAUAUGAUAGUCGAGGAUGAGCGGAAUUCCUAUGAGGUUCGCUUCGACUAUGACUAUGAUCAGGGUACCUUUAACAACGAAAUAGAUAAUCUGAACCAUGGGCCAAUUCAUGAAUUUGCCAGAGUGCUGGAGAUAGGCUCAGCAAUUCGUGAUCGAGCUACACAUCGACAACUCAAAGGCGAUUUGGUAGAGUAUCUAUGGCAACGAUUCGGGGGUGGUCAGCCUUAGCUUGUAUUAGAGGCUCAACAAAUAAUUUGUAAUUUUAUUUCUAGACUUGUUCACCAUGUAUUCUGUAUGCUGCCACCAAAAUAUUUGUAUUGCUAGAUCUUUUAUCUUUUCUAAUGUUGAAAUAAGAAGCCAUAAUGGAGAGUUGUGAUAUUCCCUACUAUAUUCAGCACAAAAGCCACCGAAAUACAAAGUCACACACUCACGUACAGGGAACCCAUGAACAGCCACAUCUCACCUUCUGCUGCCGCGUGAACCCGCCCAUGCUCCAGAUCUGCGCCUAGUACUCGCACGGCGACAAAAUCGAGAAGCAGUAUAUGUGCUGUGCGAGCCGAAGGAAGAUCGUCGUCGCCGUCGGAGAGUGGCACGUGGACGGCGACAAAUGUACGAGCGGUUUGAUCAGCCAGGCGCUCGUGCCUGCCUCCACCAACCGGUUCAAGAGGAGUAGAAGACAGACAGUGAGUGCUCGUGUAGCUAUUUGGUCCUGGGCUGGCCGAUGAGUUCCCGCAGAGGUUCAACUGAAGGCUGGUCGCGCCUCAUUCUCAAUAUGUACAUAGAUCGUUUAUUUAUCCUAAAAAAACUUGAUUGUUUGUUUAUUUUUGAGUACUUGAUUUUUUCCUGUAAGAAUCAUUUUUUUCUGUAACAAAUACUAGAAAAAUUCAAAAAAAUUCAAUUUUUUUGGGUGGUAGAUAAUUUGAUGCGUGAGGUUCGCUGCAAAUUUCAACUCAUUUGGACAUUUGAGCAGCUCUCUGCAAAAAAGACAAAAUCGGGGUCUGUAAAAAAGUUUACUGUUCACGCACUGUUUUGACCCGAUAAUUUGAACGAAAAAACGCAUUUCUUUUGCUCCCACUAGACGCAGAAAUUUGUUUCUCGUGAAGCACAGAUUUGAUUCUGCGAGAGGCAGCCGUGCCUCUCAAAAAGGGGGAAAACGCAUUAUUUUUUUGCUUCAACAAGAGGCACAGGUUUGCUUUCGCAAGAGGCACGACUAUGCCUCUCUAAAAAGGAAAAAAACACGUUUUUUUGUUCCAUGAGAGACAUAGAUUUUGCCUCUCGGAAGUGAGAAAAAGUGUAUCCGGCUACCGGUUUUUUUCAAUCAGUUUUUUUAUGAAAAAAGUUCGUCGAACUAGUUUCGCAGAUCUCGAUGCUAGGAAAUCCGUGUAAGUGCAUCUAGUGCCCCUUAGUGAUUUUGGUGUAUUAAAGAUUUAUAGGUUAAGGGACUAAUGCAUUUGUGAGUGUACACAUGUCUAUAAGUCUAUGAGGAGUUUGAUAUUUACAUAGAAUGUCGACCUCUAAAAAUGACUGGCUUCAAGUGAAGAAAUUGAUGUGAUCCUGAAGACUUGAUGUUCAUGCGAGGAAAAUGAAGCGUGAAGACUUUUGUUUUCGUAGUUUCAUUUUCUCUUUCUUGAGUCAUAGGAAACACCAUACUAUUAAAGGGGGUCGAGGUAAAAUUAAGGAAAAGUUUCCAAGUGAUGCUCAACUCAAAGUUCUACACCUACAAUCCCUUCGAGUGAAGCCAUUGGAAAUCUCAUACAGUUCAGUCAAUUUCUUCAGUGACAGAGAUGAAGAUCUUCUGGUCUCUGAGUAAUUUGUUCUGAUUGAGGAGUUAGGAAUUCACCAGUGCGGAUUGCCUACAAGUGAGGAACAUGAUAGCCCUGAGGAAUUUGAGAGCUCAAAUUUCCGACCGUUGUUGUGCUACGCGCCAGCUGUCCUAAAAUAUCUACCCACCUAACGGUCAUAUCAUUGAAGGGCAUUUGUGUCUUAUCAUGUCGGGCUAGUCCCUAGGCUAUAAAUAGCCACCCCCUACAACCACUAGUUGGUUGGCUGCUCCGCGAGAAACUGACACUUGUCAUUGAGAGCAUCCCAUCCUCCGAGGACUUUGAGCGAAAAUCAUCAAGUGAGGAAAAACCCAAACACCUAGAAACCCAAAGUGAUUGAGCAUCACUGAAGAGAUUGUUCCUGUGUGGAACCGACGCUUGUUACCUUUGAGGACUGUGCAUCCUUCAGACGGUUAGGCGUCAUGGUCUAGAGCAUCCAAGAGGAAAUUGUGGAUCGCCGAGUGAUCAAGUCUGUGAAGGUUUGGAAGUCACCUGAAGACUUACCACGAGUGAUUGGACGAGGUCUGUGUGACCUUAGUUCAAGGAGAAUACGGUGAGGACUGUGUGUCCUCAGGUUUAAAUACCUAGUCGCUCCAACCAGACAUACGACUGUCACAGCAAUUGGAACUGGUUUACCAAAUCAUUGCCUUCACCGAGCUAACUGGUUCUAUCUCCUCAACCCUUUCAUUUCCUCAUUACUAUGUUGUGUACUUGAUCGCUGCUGUUUGAAGACUUUUGACUGAAGACUUUCUCAAUUUCUUCAGUCAGUUUGUCUUUAGCCUGCUUAUCCUGUGUUUGCGCUUUCUGUACUCUGUGCUAGUUUUCUUUUCAUCAUGAUGACUGUGCUUCUGUCAUGUUAUGCUUGCAUCUGAGUACUUAUUCCGCUGCUAGUAGUUAUUUGCUUAGGAAUUUCCUCACCCUGAAAUUCCUCAGUGAAGAAUUCAUAAAAAUCGCCUAUUAACCCCCUCCCUAGUCGACUUAACGCACUUUCAAUUGGUAUCAGAGCAAGGUACUCCCUUGUUCUGUGUGAUUUUGGUUUAACCGCCUAGAGUUUUAGUUAUGUCGAUCGCAGGUAUGAUCAAGGUCUCUGCUGGGUGUCCUACCUUCGAUGGGAUGGACUACCCCUACUGGAAGAAUAAGAUGCGAAUGCAUCUUGAGGCAAUUGACAACGAUCUCUGGUAUGUUAUGGAAAAUGGUGUUCCCUCUGUCACUCCCACCAUCAAUGCUGCUGACGUGAAGAGAUUCAAGAAACUCGACUCUCAAGCGAAGAAUAUCAUAUGUGGCCAUCUGUGCAAAGGACAGUAUAGCAGAGUGAGUGCUUUGGAGACAGCAAAGCUUAUCUGGGAUAGGUUGUCCAAGGCCAAUGAAGGAGUCUCAACACUGCGUGACUCUCGAGUUGAAGUUCUUCGCAAUCUCUUCAACCGCUUCAAAAGACUUGACAAUGAAAAUGUUUAGCAAACCUUCGAUCGCCUCACUGACAUUUCAAAUGAGCUUCAAGCACUUGGUGCCACUAACAUCACCGACCAUGAGGUGGUGAAGAAACUGCUGAGAUCGCUUGAUUCCUCAUUUGACACCCUUGUGCUGAUGAUACAAGAACGUGGAGACUACAAGUCACUUGAUCCCGCUGAUAUCCUUGAGAGGCUAAACACUCAUGAGUUCUAACUUGCUGAGAAAACAGAUCUCUAUGGAUCAAGCUAUGGCAGAACUCGCGUUUUGAAGGCCAAAGCAGUCUCUGAAUCUGAAGGUGAGGAUUCUGGUAGCAGCCUUGGUGAUCCUGAAAAACUGAGCCAGGAGCUAGCAAUGCUCGUGAGGAAAUUCCAGAAGUUCUCAAGACGUGGUCGCUUUGGUAAAUCCUCAAGAAAUGAUGACAUGAGAUCAGAUUCCUCAUCACGUGACUACAAGAAGAGACUUUGCCACAAAUGCAAGAAACCUGGUCAGUACAUUCAAGAUUGUCCUCAGUGGGAAAAGGAAUCAAAGAAGAAGAAGUACAAGGAUUACAGUUCUGAAGAUUCAAAGAAGAAGAAGAAAUCUUCAAAGUCCUCAUCAUCAAAAUCCUCGAAGUCUUCAUCUCACAAGAAGAGCAACUCCAAGAAGGCUCGGGCAUUCAUUUGCAUCUGAGGAAAAUGAGGAAGAGGAGGCAUCUGAGGAGUCAGAAUCUGGUGUGGCGAGCCUAGCCCUCGCUACUGCUUUCGUCAGCAAGUCUAUCUUCAAUUCUGAGGAGAAUGACCUCUCCAACACGGCUGAUGAUGAUAAUGACUAUGCUCCCACCUAUUACUUCAUGGCAAAGGGUUCUAAGGUACUCAAAUAUCCCUCCUCUGAAUCAAGUGAGGCUGAAUUUGAUGAAAACCUCAAGCCCAGCUACUCUAAACUUGCUAAGAUUGCUGUGAAACAACAAAAAGCUCUUGAAAAGGUUCAAAACAUGCUAGACAAGGGCGAUGAUAUGUUGGGUGAAGAAAUGGAUCGCACUAAAACUUUGACUGAAAAUCUUCAGAGACUUUAGUCCAAGUUUGGUAACCUUCGGAGUCAUCAUAACACUCUCUUAUCUGAUCAUGCGAAGCUUUCUUAUGAAUUUCUUCCAAGAAAGCAAGAUCUUGAGAAGCUAAGGGUGAGUUAUGAAGAUCUUCAGAAGGAGCAUGAUUCAUUACUUGCUCAACAAAUCAGCGCUGCUCAGGAAGAAUUCAUUCCUCCAUGUUUUAAGUGCAUUGAACGUGAAUCUGCUAAUUCUUCACCUGAAAGUUCAAAUGCUUCUAUUGCUGCAAAUUAUUCACAUGUCUCUGCUGUCACUAAUUCCUCAUCUGAGGAUGCUACUAGUAUCACUAACCAUGCAGGCCUGAAGGAAUUGUAUCUAACAGGCAUGUACAAAAGCCUCAAAGGGCAUCAGGCACUUUGUGAUGUGCUUGAAAAGCAGAUUCUCAAUAGGAACCCUAGGAAAGAGGGUAUUGCCUUUGAGAGGAAACUCAAUGCUGAUGGGACCUACUGGAAGCCUGAGCAGUAUCCCAAAACCUCAUGGGUUGCUGCAAAGGGACCUUCAGUAGAUCCAUCUACUUUAUCCGGCUUCACAUGUGAAUCUUCAUAUUCUUCUGAUGAGUCAUUUGACUUCAACUAUAAGUUGUUCAAAAAUCAGAAUGGUGAAGUAUUUGCUAGAUAUGUUGGCACUAAUUGCAGGAACGGUCCUCCUAUGAAGAAAAUCUGGGUUCCCAAAAGGUGCCUUGAAAGUCUUCAGGUGAAUGUCAUUAUGACACCACCUGUGAAGAAUAGGAACCCCAGAUCAAAUUCUUCAUAUGGACCAAAGUCUUCAUGUGGAUCAAGGUCCUUAUAUGAACAUCAUCGUGCUAACACUUCUGCUUCGCAGGGAAAGACUAAGGGUUAUGAAUAUGUGCAUUAUUCUUCAAAUCAUUAUGUUCAUAAGUCCUCGAAGAAUUUCUUUGCUUAUUCAUAUGCUUACCCUAACUCCUCUUAUGUGAAAUAGAGUGGAUUGGCAUCUAUGCCACCUUUCUCUUAUGGAGCUCGCAGAAUGAUGAACUCUUUGCCACCCCUCCAGAUGUGGGUGGUGAAGAAAAAGAACUAAUCUCUUAUGCAGGGUCAGGUCUCCAGACGAACGUAAACGUCUGAAGAAUUUGCUGGAGACCUGAAUAUGCUUGAGAGGACGCAAGCUAAUCAUGAAGAAAUGAUUUUUCAUUUCACACGUCCUCAUACUCCUAUAUCUGUUCUAUUGCUUGAUGAAAUUGAUCUGAUGAAUUUGAUGUCAUAUUCUUCACUGCUGAAGUAUAUGAGUUCGUAAGAUGCACUAUUUCAUCUGCAGGAUGAUCAACCCAAAGCCACUGAGUGGGUCAUCGAUAGUGGAUGUACAAAUCACAUGACUGAUAAUAGGAACUUAUUGAUGGACGCUCCCUUGUCUCCAUCGCAUCUGAGCAUAUCACCUACGCUGACAAUGGCAAAAGCAAGGUAUUGGGUCUAGGUAAGGUUGCGAUCUCAAAGGAUCGACACAUGGACAAAGUCAUGCUUGUCGAGUCCUUAGGAUUCAACCUCAUGUCAGUCUCAAUGCUUUCUGAUCUCGAUAUGGUUGUUGUCUUUCGCAAGUAUCGUUGUGUUGUGAUCAUUGAAGCUGACAAUUCCAAAGUCUUCGAAGGCUUUAGGAGAGGAGAUUUGUACAUUGUUGACUUCUCUACAGGACCGCAACCUACUACAUGCUUACUUGCUAAAGCUUCAGAAGGCUGGCUAUGGCAUCGACGACUUGGUCAUGUUGGCAUGAGAAACUUGCACACUCUUGCAAAGAAGAAGCAUGUCAUUGGCAUCGAGGGUGUCAAAUUCCUCAAGGACCAUCUGUGUGGAGCUUGUGAAGCUGGAAAGAUGACCAAGGCCAAGCAUCCCUCAAAGACCAUCAUGACUACCACUCAUCCAUUUGAAUUGCUUCACAUGGAUCUCUUUGGCCCUACUCAUUAUGCCACAUUCACUAAUGCUGCAUCUUUAUAUGGUUUGUCAUUGUUGAUGACUAUUCUCGUUACACAUGGGUGCAUAUCAUCACUUACAAAAACUGAAGUGCAGGAAGUUUUCAAACGAUUUUCCUCGAGGGCUUCAACCAACUUUGGUGUGAAGAUCAAGCACAUCAGAAGUGACAAUGGAACUGAGUUCAAGAAUACUGGUCUUGAUGAUUAUCUUGAUGAACUUGGUAUUACUCACGAGUUAUCUUCUCCUUAUACUCCUCAGCAGAAUGGCGUUGUGGAGCGCAAGAACAGGACUCUUGUUGAGAUGGCUCGCACUAUGCUUGAUGAAUACAAGACGCCUCCUCGCUUCUGGCCUGAGGCAAUUGAUACUGCGUGCCACAUCAUCAACAGGGUAUAUCUUCACAAAUUCUUCAAAAAGACCUCAUAUGAACUCCUCACUGACAAGAAACCCAAUGUUAGUUAUUUCAAAGUCUUCGGUGCUAAAUGUUGGAUUAGAGAUCCUCAUCACAAUUCUAAAUUUGCACCGAAAGCACAUGAAGGUUUUAUGCUUGGUUAUGGAAAGAACUCGCACACCUACAGAGUCUUCAACACCUAUCACCACAAGGUUGUUGAAACUGUAGAUGUGCGGUUCGAUGAAACUAAUGGCUCGCAAAAAGAGCACCUACCUCCUGUGCUAGACGAAAUACCACCUGAGGAAUCAAUAAAGUUUAAGGCUACUGAGGAUGUCAUUCCUACCGAAGAAUCUGCUGAAGAAGUCAUUCCAGAACGUGAAGAACAUCAUAAUGGUGCACCUAAGGAAAAUGGCUCUGAGGAAAAUGCUGAGCCACCUCAACGUCGUCAACCAGCCCACCCUCGCAUUGCAAAUGAAGUGCAGAUUGAGAGAAUCAUCAACGACAUCAAAGCACCAGGUCCUCUCACACGCUCAAAAGCUUCACAUUUGUCUAACUUUUGUGGGCACUUUGCUUUUGUCUCUAUCACAGAGCCCACUAAAGUAGAUGAAGCAUUUCUGGAGCCUGAGUGGAUUCAAGCUAUGCAAGAGGAAUUACAUCAGUUCGAGCUCAACAAUGUGUGGGUGCUAGUCAAGCGACCAGACCCACUCAAGCACAAUAUCAUCGGCACAAAAUGGAUCUACCACAACAAGCAAGAUGAAAAUGGCCUUGUGGUGAGGAAUAAGGCACAGCUUGUAGCUCAAGGCUACACACAGGUUGAAGGAAUUGAUUUCGAUGAAAAUUUUGCACCUGUUGCUAGACUUGAGGCUAUUCGCAUAUUACUUGCUUAUGCUAACCAUCAUAAUAUCAUCUUAUAUCAAAUGGAUGUGAAAAGUGCAUUCCUCAAUGGUAAGCUUGAGGAAGAAGUAUAUGUUGCUCAACCCCCAGGUUUUGAAAAUCCAAAGCAUCCUGACAAAGUCUUCAGAUUCAACAAGGCCCUCUAUGGCCUCAAGCAGGCCCCUCGGGCGUGGUAUGAUACUUUGAAGGAAUUCCUCAUGAAGAAAGGCUUCAAACCCAGUUCACUUGACCCAACUCUUUUCACCAAAACUUAUGAUGAUGAACUAUUCGUGUGCCAAAUAUAUGUUGAUGAUAUCAUCUUUGGCUGUACUGACCAACGUUACAGUGAUGAAUUUGCCUAUAUGAUGAGUGAAGAAUAUCAAAUGUCUGUGAUGGGAGAAUUGAAAUUCUUCUUAGGUCUUCAGAUAUGUCAACAACGCAGGGGCAUCUUCAUAUCUCAAGAGAAAUACCUCAAGGAUGUAUUGAGAAAAUUCGGCAUGCAAGAUUGCAAAGGAGUCAAAAUCCCUAUGCCCACAAAUGGCCAUCUAUCCACUAAUGAAAAUGGCAUUGACUUGGAUUAAAAGGUAUACCGCUCCAUGAUUGUCUCUUUAUUGUACCUAUGUGCAUCUAGGCCAGAUAUUAUGCUUAGUGUUUGCAUGUGUGCCCGUUUUCAAGCUACACCGAAGGAAUCACACCAUAAGGCUGUGAAGCAUAUUCUUCGAUAUCUAGCUCACACUCCAACACUUGGACUAUGGUAUCCCAAGGGCUCGGCUUUUGAUCUCAUUGGAUGUUCAGAUUCUGACUAUGCUGGUGAUCAUGUGGACCGCAAGUCAACAUCAGGCACAUGUCAUUUCCUCGGGCGAUCCUUGGUAUGUUGGUCCUCGAAGAAAUAGAACUGCGUAUCACUAUCAACUGCUGAAGCUGAGUACAUUGUUGUUGGUUCGUGCUGUGAUCAAUUGCUAUGGAUGAAGCAAACCCUCAAGGACUACGGCAUCAAUGUGAAGAAUGUGCCUCUCUACUGUGACAAUGAGAGUGCCAUCAAGAUUGCUCAUAACCCAGUUCAGCACUCGAAGACAAAGCACACUCAGAUUCGUCAUCAUUUUCUUCGUGAUCAUGUGUUGAAGGGCGACAUCUCUAUCGAGCACAUGAAGACUGAAGAACAGCUAGCCGAUAUUUUCACAAAGCCCUUGGAUGAGAAGAGAUUUAGCAAGUUGCGGUGUGAGCUAAAUAUCUUAGAAUCUUCGAAUGUCCUUUGAAAAGGACACACAUCCUAACACUUAUGCUAAAUUGAUGACUUAGAUGUGCAACACAUGAAGUAACCUUUUUCUUCAAUCAAUGAAGACUAACCCUCUAAGUGUGAAGAAAUUAACGAAGAAUUUGAUUCUUAGAGCCCUACGAUAAUUGUACGCGGCGUCUGAAAUCAUCAUUCUUAUACGGUGGGUUACGCCACCAACAAAAGUUGAAAAUCUUCAAUUUGAGUUUUUCUUCAGUUUUUGAAUUUCCUCAUUUGUUCAAUUUCUUCAACUUUGCAUAGUCUUUGCUCUUUCCGUUGUUCUUCAUUGACUAUAUAUAUUUGAGUUUUUGUCCUCUACAACAUUCACUUAUUGCUAAAUCUUCAAGUUACAUUUUCUGCUAAGUGAAUGUGAUCGGACCCUUCCCCCUCUAUGCUAAACCCAACCCAGUCUGUUCACAAAUUAUUUAUGUGUGUUCUAUUUGAAACCCGUUCAAAAUCUUCACUGUAUCCUUGUCAGCUAAAAAAUUUGCGAACAAAACAUUAAAAUUUUCAUAUAUCAAUUUUUCGGCUUUUGCCGCUCAAAUCAUUCUGCAUCCCACGAUAAGACUUAUCUAUUCACCCACGAUCUCCACCAUUCUGUACAUGUGUGACACAUGUCUCUACGAUGAGAAGGGUCAGGGGCACGCUCGUCCAAUUUCUUCAGGCGAGCAGUUUUUCACCUCGGCUAUAAAUACCCCUCACCCUCCUCAGACCGCAUUUACCCCGCUCGACCUCACUCCCUCGCUCGAGCUUCCAGACCUAGCGCCGCCGCUACAUUCAUCGUCGCCGGUGAGGAAGAGCUUCACUGCCUCGACCUCGUCGCCGUCGUACUCGCGCCGGCCGCGGAUUUCUUCACUCCGCCGCUGCCGUAGCUGUAUUCCUCUGCCAAGUUAGGGCGUGGAAGAUCUGGACUGACGAACUUCAAAUCUACCAUUCCCAGUUCGUCGUGUUCUUCGUCAAGGUUAAUUAAAAGCUACUUUUACCGCCCUUGUUGAUUCUAAUGAUUUCCACAAAUCUUCAAAAGGUGUUUAUUCUUCAACUUCUACACUUUAAACACCUCAAACAAGCAUCUAUUCUUGAUCUGUUUCUCUUAAGCAACAUUUUUCUUCAAGAUUCCUCAAUUGUGUGGAUUUUCAAUCUAUACAACUCUGGAACCUAAGUCAAAACGCUUAGUGAAAUUUCUCAAGACACCACUGGUCAAAUUCCUCAAACUUGUUCUUUUUGCAAAAACGUCUGAGAACGCAUAUGACCUCUCCAAAUCCUUCGCACAUAUACUAUGUUCACAGGUACUCAUGUCCGCUGCUGAAUCACUAGGUUCUCAUCAACUUAACUCAUUUGCAGCGUUCCUCGAAGAAAAAUUGCACACCUCUUCAGAGAACUCAAUUGUUGAAAACCCUCAGCUGAAGAAUAUGGCAGAUGGCAAGAAACCUCAGAAGGGAGGCAAGAGACUGGAAGUCAACACAGCAUUUGUGAUCCCUGAGGACAUUUAUGAAAAUAUUGUACUCCUGAUGAGGCCAAACAUGGCAAGGAGAACAAGAAUUAGCGCAAGGUGCGCAUUCAAAGGAUAGAGAGGAGAUGGGCACGGGAAUGGAGGGAGUACAGGUAUGUCACUCUAAAGUACAUGAAGAAAUUCGCUCUUCACCCUCCUUUCCCAAGACCUCCUUUGGCACCUGGGCAAGAAGCUAAUCCCACUAGCCUCAAGUGCGGUGAGGACUAUCCUGAUGAAUGGGCUAAACGGCAAGCCAAGCUAGCCAAAAUGGCUAAGGAAGCAGUGAGAAAAUUCAACGAAGACUCUGCUGCUGCCGCUGCUGAGGUCUCUGCAAGCAAGCCCAAGAAAUUGAUGCAAAAGAAGCCUGCACACAAACCAUCAAGUUCCUCAGCAAUGCCCUCACGGCCAAGCUCUUCAAUGCCCUCACGGCAAAUUCCUCAAGCUGCUUCAGUUCCUCCUGUUGCCAAGUCCUCUGCUCCUCCAGAAAAGUCCUCAGCACCUGUGCAUCUCGCCUCAUGUCAAAGGACCAAAGGCAUCUCAAUUGCCUCAGGAGCCUCUGCAAGUUCUUCAGCUGCUCCGCAAUCCUCAACUGGCCCCACUCUGCUGAAGACAAAGGCCACUGCUGGACGAGGCACUAGACCAAGUCCUCAUAAGAAGCAGGUUGCCUUUCAUGUACCGUCCAGUGAUGACGAAACUAAUGAUGAAGAACUUGAAGAAAUCAUUAGAGACAGACAACAAAGGGCCGCUAGAGCCAAAGACACAAAUGUGCCAUAGAUGUUGGAUCCAAAGCUGAUCCUUGACUUCAUUGAUCUCUGGCACAAGGACCCCAACACACCUAUGCCUGACUUCAAGCUCACUCCUGGCCAAAGUCACAUGCUGACCGCCUUCAUUAGUGAAGAAAAAUGGAAAUUUGAGAAGGCCUGACAGCUGAAGAAAGCUCAGUACAAGAAGGAGCGUUAUCUGAAGAAGAACGUUGUCACAAUGACAACUGAUGAACUUGUGACUGCAGAGGCUGAGAUCAAAUGACUCAGUGAUGAAUUUGAUGCCUAUCGUGCAGAUUGGCUUGGAGCCAAGGUCAGAUUUGUCAAACUGGCUAAAAGAAUCACCUCAAAUGUUGCUGCUCUAAUGCAACAUGAAUCUCCAAAGGUUGAAGCAUCUGCCCAGCCAACCGAAGAACAUGCCAGCACAACUGAUGAAAAUCAGGCUGCUGAUGAAAAUGAGAGUACCAGGGCUGAUGAAGCUAUUCCAGCCGCUGAUGAAAUUGCCAGGGCAACCACUAGUGUUGCGCCUGGAGAACAAGACAGGCCAGCUGAAGCAUCUGUCGCUGCGCCUGAAGAGACUAAAAAACCAAGGCAACUGCAUCAGUUGCGCCUGAGGUAACUGAACCAAUUUCCUCUGCUCCUCCUGCCCCAACGCCAAGUCCAGUUCUUCCUUCUGCUUCAGAAGCGAAGAAAACCAAGGCUGCGGAGCGAGCAACAAUGAAGAAAAGGAAAGCAUCUGCUUCAUCACAUUCUUCAGCACCAAAGAAGAUGAAGACAUUGACCAACUCUUUUGAGAAUCCCAUCGAUGCUAUUCCUGUCUCAAGUAUGCCAUCAAAGGAAAACAUUCCUUUUGGUGAAGAUUAUGAGAUCCCAAGCGGAUCUGAUGAAGAUGUUCCUUCUGCUGCUUCUUCAGAGCAGUUGGACGAAGAAAUUGAAGUGGAUGAUAUCCCUUCAACCCCAGUGGUCUCAUCGCCCAUGCCUCAGUUCACAGCUGAAGAGGCAGGCGUUGAAGAAUUGGAUGAUGAAGAAGAAGAUGUAGACAUUGGGUGCACCACUUCAGUGCUGAAUGAUGACUAUUGGGAAAGUCAUCACCCCAACUCUCCCAUGUUCACGCCACUGCAACAGAUUCCUCAGUCCCUAGUCCAGACUAAAGAAAUUCGUACAGACUCUGAUGAACCUCAAGCUUCACUUCUUACCAUCCCUGAAGAAAUUUCAGCCACUAGUGCUGAUGCUCAUGCUGCUGAAGAGAUGGAGACCCAGGCUGCCACUGAAGAUGUUGGCAAUGAAAUUCCUCAGCCUGCGGCUCCUGAGACGGUGAUUCCUGAGGCUGUGAAAACAUUGACUGAUACUCCUCAGCCCAAGCCGAAGAAUCCCUUCUCAAAGAAGCGGAAAUUCAAAGCAGAUGACUUCUUUCACGAGCAUGUGUUCUUCACUAACUAUACCCCUUAUGACUCUGCUCGUCUUCGGAGGAAGUGUUUCUGGACAGCAAGUCAGAUGAAUUUCUAUUCCUCUCUGCUUUUUGACAAAGACAAGAUCUUCGACCAUGAGCAUAUUCCUCAUGUUGACAUGGAAUCACUGCAUUGCUUCACCCCAGUCCUCAGUGUUCUUCAUGACGCUGGGCUGCUCAACUUCUGCACCGGCAUAUGUGAUUGGAAUGAAGAGCUAAUUCUUCAGUUCUACGCGACGCUGCACAUCACCGGCAAUGCUGAAGAUGUGAAUUCUUGGGUGUUGGACUAGAUGACAGAAAACAUGCACUAUAAAGCACCGGCCUCUGAAUUGCUUCAUGCCCUGCCUGUCAGUCCUCCCCUUGAAGGUGCACGUCUCAUCUAUCAUGAACCUGAGCUCUCUGAUCACUACAUGCAAGUUUUGAUGAAGCCUCUGAAGCCUGAUCAAGCCCCUCGGACCAAAUUCCUCGUGAAGGAAUUGCCGUAUGUGCCACGGACUGUCUAUCGCAUUUUUUACCAAGACCCUGAGUCCCAUCAAAGGCCACGAUUCUAAUGAAGAAGAAGUCGUUGGCAUCAUGAAGAAUUUGCUAUUCAACAUCAUCCAUGGCGUUCCUGUCAACUACCAUGAUUUCUUCAUGAGGACUCUGGCCAAUGUAGCUCUGUCACCGUUUGAACUGAAGUCUUACGCUCCCUGGAUCAUGAGAUUCAUCAGAUCAAGGUCUUCAAUUCAUUACAAGGCUGACUGUCAACGACAUCUCAGCUACUUGCCACCUAUUGAAGUCCUCAAGCGGACAUAUUCCUCAGCUGAUGAGAAGGGCAAGGCAACUGCGAUUAUUGAUGACGGCAUUCGUCCAUUGGAUGGUCAGUUCCGCAAAUCUGCAUCUUACUCCGCCAAUGAUGACUCUGCCACUCAUGACUCUACCGCCAAUGCUACAAAGCAAAAUCCUCAAGGCACAGCUCCAAGGGUGAUGACUGAUCAUGAGCUUCUCCUCAGUCUUCAGCAGAAGGUCGAUCGCAACCAUAAGUGGGUCAAGAGACAGUUUGGUUCAAUUCUUCAUAACAUGACCAUCACUCAGAAUCACUGAAGAAGAACCAUUACUACCUCCAUGAAGUAUUUGAUCGCACCUGGGCUAUUCUGUCUCAUCUCUACGGUGAAGAAGAUCUAAAACAGAUGGGCUUCAAGCAGGACUUUGACUGGUCUCAGCCACCUUCAAAGAAAUUCAAGAAGGUCAAAGUUUCUCACUUGGUGGCUAGAUCCUAUUCUUCAUCACGCGAGACUGAUGAAAAUGAAGACUUGAACGACACUGCGGCAGGCCCUACUUCAACAACCGACCCCAACAAUGCUGGCGCUGCUCCAUCGACUUCAUAAUGUUAUUUCUUCAGGGGCGUUAGUCCUCAUUUUUCGUACCUUUUGGUCAUCCGAUAACAAAGGGGGAGAAAUUUGAGUUAGUCUUCAAGCGGGUCUAUAUAUGGGUGUUUUUUUUGCUAAGUUACAACUCUCGUUCUUUUGAAAACUUUGUUGGAUCGAGUUGUAAUCUUAAACCCGGUGGUGGUCUGAUACUUCUGCUAUGUUCUUCUGCAUGCUAUUUCCUCAUAUAUGUUAAAUGCACGCAUGAUGAAUUACAUCAGUCACCAUAUUUCAUCAUGCAUUUCAAAUUCUUCAUAUCAUAUGUUAAAUGCGUGUAUGAAUUAGAAGAUAUAGGGGGAGAUCUCCAUGAUUCUACUCUUCAAUGUGCAUUGCUUCAAAAGCAAAUUCCUCUCAUAUGCACAUCUUCAGGGGGAGUUCUUCUAUAUCUUGCAAUCAAAUUCCUCAAUAUCAGCAUUUACACUUCAUAUGUUUAUCCCCGUUGAAAACUUAACCUAUAUUGUCAUCAAUCAUCAAAAAGGGGGAGAUUGUAAGUGCAUCUAAUGCCCCUUAGUGAUUUUGGUGUAUUGAAGACUUAUAGGUUAAGGGACUAAUGCGUUUCUGAGUGUACACAGGUCUAUAAGUCUAUGAGGAGUUUAAUAUUUACAGAGAAAGUCAACCCCUAAAAAUGAAUGUCUUCAACUGAAGACUUUGGCUUUCUGAAGACUUUGAAAGUGAAGAAAUUGGUGUGAUCCUGAAGACUUGAUAUUCAUGCGAGGAACAUGAAGCGUGAAGACUUUUGUUUUCGUAGUUUCAUUUUCUCUUUCUUGAGUCAUAGGAAACACCGUACUGUUAAAGGAGGUCCAGGUAAAACUAAGGAAAAGUUUCCAAGUGAUGCUCAACUCAAAUUCCUACACCUACCAAUCCCUUCGAGUAAAGCCACUGGAAAUCUCAUACAGUUUAGUCAAUUUCUUCAGUGACAGAGACGAAGAUCUUCUAGUCUCUGAGAAAUUUGUUCUGACUGAGGAGUUAGGAAUUCGCUAGUGUGGAUUGCCUACAAGUGAGGAACAUGAUAGCCCUGAGGAAUUUGAGAGCUCAAAUUUGCGACCGUUGCUGUGCUACGUGCCGGCUGUCCCAAAAUAUCUACCCACCUAACGGUCAUAUCAUUGAAGGGCAUUUGUGUCUUAUCAUGCCGGGCUGCUCCCUAGGCUAUAAAUAGCCACCACCUACAACCACUAGUUGGUUGGCUGCUCCGCGAGAAACUGACACUUGUCAUUGAGAGCAUCCCAUCCUCCGAGGACUUUGAGCGAAAAUCAUCAAGUGAGGAAAAACCCAAACACCCAAACCAAACACCUAGAAACCCAAAGUGAAUGAGCAUCACUGAAGUGAUUGUUCCUGUGUGGAACCGACGCUUGUUACCUUUGAGGACUGUGCAUCCUUCAGACGGUUAGGCGUCAUGGUCUAGAGCAUCCAAGAGGAAAUUGUGGAUCGUCGACUGACCAAGUCUGUGAAGGUUUGGAAGUCACCUGAAGACUUACCACGAGUGAUUGGACGAGGUCUGUGUGACCUUAGUUCAAGGAUAAUAUGGUGAGGACUGUGUGUCCGGGACUGUUGAUAACCCACAAGUAUAGGGGAUCGCAACAGUUUUCGAGGGUAGAGUAUUCAACCCAAAUUUAUUGAUUCGACACAAGGGGAGCCAAAGAAUAUUCUCAAGUAUUAGCAUUUGAGUUGUCAAUUCAACCACACCUGGAUAACUUAAUAUCUGCAGCAAAGUAUUUAGUAGCAAAGUAGUAUGAUAGUAGUGGUAACGGUAGCAAAAGUAACAGUGAUAGUUUUGUAGUGAUUGUAAUAGUAGCAACGGAAAAGUAAAUAAGCGAAGAACAAUAUGUGAAAAGCUCUUAGGCAUUGGAUCGGUGAAGGAGAAUUAUGCCGGAUGCGAUUAUUCAUGCAACAGUUAUAACAUAGGGUGACACAGAACUAGCUCCAAUUCAUCAAUGUAAUGUAGGCAUGUAUUCCGAAUAUAGUCAUACGUGCUUAUGGAAAAGAACUUGCAUGACAUCUUUUGUCCUACCCUCCCGUGGCAGCGGGGUCCUAGCGGAAACUAAGGGAUAUUAAGGCAUCCCUUUAAUAGAGUACCGGACCAAAGCCUUAACACAUAGUGAAUACAUGAACUCCUCAAACUAUGGUCAUCACCGGGGGUGGUCCCGAUUAUUGUCACUUCGGGGUUGCCGGAUCAUAACACAUAGUAGGUGACUAUAGACUUGCAAGAUAGGAUCAAGAAAUCACAUAUAUUCAUGAAAACAUAAUAGGUUCAGAUCUGAAAUCAUGGCACUCGGGCCCUAGUGACAAGCAUUAAGUAUAGCAAAGUCAUAGCAACAUCAAUCUCAGAACAUAGUGGAUACUAGGGAUCAAACCCUAACAAAACUAACUCGAUUACAUGAUAAAUCUCAUCCAACCCAUCACCGUCCAGCAAGCCUACGAUGGAAUUACUCACGCACGGCGCUGAGCAUCAUGAAAUUGGUGAUGGAGGAUGGUUGAUGAUGAUGAUGGCGACGGAUUCCCCUCUCCGGAGCCCCGAACGGACUCCAGAUCAGCCCUCCUGAGAGAGUUUAGGGCUUGGCAGCGGCUUCGUAUCGUAAAACGCGAUGAAUCCUUCUCUCUUAUUUUUUCUCCCCGAACACGAAUAUAUAGAGUUGGAGUUGAGGUCAGUGGAGCUCCAGGGGGCCCAUGAGGCAGGGGGCGCGCCCCACCCUCGUGGACAGGGUGUGGGCCCCCUGGCCUUGAUUCUUUCGCCAGUAUUUUUUAUUAUUUCCAAAAAUAAUCUCCGUGAAGUUUCAGGUCAUUCCGAGAACUUUUAUUUCUGCAUAAAGAUAACACCAUGGCAAUUCUGCUGAAAACAGCGUCAGUCCGGGUUAGUUCCAUUCAAAUCAUGCAGGUUAGAGUCCAAAACAAGGGCAAAAGUGUUUGGAAAAGUAGAUACGACGGAGACAUAUCAACUCCCCCAAGCUUAAACCUUUGCUUGUCCUCAAGCAAUUCAGUUGAUAAACUGAAAGUGAUAAAGAAAAACUUUUACAAACUCUGUUUGCUCUUGUUGUUGCAAAUAUGUAAAGUCAGCAUUCAAGUUUUCAGCAAAGAUUAUGACUAACCAUAUUCACAAUAACACUUAGGUCUCAUGUUUACUCAUAUCAAUGGCAUAAUCAACUAGCGAGCAAUAAUAAUAAAUCUCGGAUGACAACACUUUCUCAAAACAAUCAUAAUAUGAUAUAACAAGAUGGUAUCUCACUAGCCCUUUCUGAGACCGCAAAACAUAAAUGCAGAGCACCUUUAAAGAUCAAGGACUAACUAGACAUUGUAAUUCAUGGUAAAAGAGAUCCAAUCAUAGUCAUACCCAAUAUAAAUUAAUGGUAAUGGAUGCAAAUGACAGCGGUGCUCUCCAGCUGGUGCUUUUUAAUAAGAGGGUGAUGACUCAACAUAAAAGUAAAUGGAUUGGCCCUUCGCAGAGGGAAGCAGGGAUUUGUAGAGGUGCCAGAGCUCGAUUUUAAAGCAGAGAUAAAUAAUAUUUUGAGUGGCAUACUUUCAUUGUCAACAUAACAACCGAGAGAUGGCGAUAUCUUCCAUGCUAGACACAUUAUAGGCGGUUCCCAAACAGAAUGGUAAAGUUUUUACUCCCCCUCCACCAACAAGCAUCAAUCCAUGGCUUGCUCGAAACAACAAGUGCCUCCAACUAACAACAGUCCCGGGGGAGUUUUGUUUGCAAUUAUUUUGAUUUGAUUUACAUAAAGCAAUGGGACUGGGCAUCCCGGUGACCAGCCAUUUUCUCAUGAGUGAGGAGCGGAGUCCACUCCUCUUGAGAAUAACCCGCCUAACAUGGAAGAUACGGACAACCCUAGUUGAUACAUGAGCUAUUCGAGCAUACAAAACAUAAUUUCAUUUGAAGGUUUAGAGUUUGGCACAUACAAAUUUACUUGGAACGGCAGGUAGAUACCGCAUAUAGGAAGGUAUAGUGGACUCAUAUGGAAUAACUUUGGGGUUUAAGGGAUUGGAUGCACAAGCAGUAUUCCCGCUUAGUACAAGUGAAGGCUAGCAAAAGACUGGGAAACGACCAACUAGAGAGCGACAACAGUCAUGAACAUGCAUUAAAAUUAAUAAACAUUGAGUGCAAGCAUGAGUAGGAUAUAAUCCACCAUGAACAUAAAUAUCAUGAAGGCUAUGUCGAUUUGUUUCAACUACAUGUGUGAACAUGUGCCAAGUCAAGUCACUUGAAUCGUUCAAGGAGGAUACCGCCCUAUCAUACCACAUCACAACCAUUUUAAUAGCAUGUUGGCACGCAAGGUAAACCAUUAUAAACUCCUAGCUAAUUAAGCAUGGCAUAAGCAACUAUAAUCUUUAAUUAUCAUUGCAAACAUGUUCAUUCAUAAUAGACUGAAUCAGGAAUGAUGAACUAAUCAUAUUUACAAAAACAAGAGAGGUCGAGUUCAUACCAGCUUCUCUCAUCUCAAUCAGUCCAUCAUAUAUCAUCAUAAUUGCCUUUCACUUGCACGACCGAAUGAUGUGAAUAAUAAUAAUAGUGCACGUGCAUUGGACUAAGCUGGAAUCUGCGAGCAUUCAAUAAACAGAAGAAGACAAGGCAAUAUGGGCUCUCGGUUAAAUCAACAAUAAUGCAUAUAAGAGCCACUUCAACAUUUUAAUUAUGGUCUUCUCCUCUCGACCCCCAAAGAAAAAGAAAGGAAAUAAAACUAUUUACACAGGAAAGCUCCCAACAAGCAAAAGAAGAAUGGGAAAUCUUUUUGAGUUUUCUUUUAGUUAUUACUAAUACAGCAAGGAAGUAAACUAGCUAAAAGCUACUACUAAUUUUUUUAUUUUUCUUAAGGUUUUUCAAACACACAAGAAGAAAGCGUAAAAAGGAAAAUAAACUAGCAUGGAUAUUACAGUGAAAAAUUAUGAACACCGACAACUAGCAAUGAGUGUGUGAACAUAAAUGUAAUGUCGGUGAGAAAUACGUACUCCCCCAAGCUUAGGCUUUUGGCCUAAGUCGGUCUAUGGCCACGGCUGGCCUGGCGGAUAUCCAAAGUUGUAGCUAGGGUCGUACUGAGAUGAAGCCUCGGGUUGCCACUGGUUGGCAACCUCCUCCGGAUCCCACUGUUAAACAGACUGGCGUGGGGGAACAAAUUGUGGUUCCGGAUCUGGCUCUGUAGCUGAUGUAGGGUUCCGGUAGACGUGAAUGGCCUCAAACGGAACAAGGUACUCGCCUGCAGAUAAAUCAAACAAGGAAGGAGCAGGCAAGGUAAUAGUCUCAGGGUGAUUUUUAUCAAAUAACAAUCUAUAGUUAAGCUCCUUUUUCCUGUUCUUAACAAUGAAAUCAUGUGCAACCAUACUCUUGUAAUCUAGAAGAACAGUAUGCAACAAUUUUCUUCUUUCUCAUAAUGCCUAAUAGGUAUGUUGUAGUAUGCAGCGAGGCGCGAGGCGAAGAUGCCUCCCAAGAUGGGGCCCUUAGUACGGUUAAGAUUUAACCGCUUUGCAACAAUAGCGCCCAUACUAAAUGAGUCAUCACGAAACAAGGCAUGGUGCAAAAUAACAAUAUCAGGGGCACUUAGGUUGCCACAGUUUCCGCGACCAAUUAAGCAUCUACUAGCAAAUAAUGCAAAGUAACGUAAAACAGGAAAAUGUAUGCUAGUAAUUCUUGCAUCGGAAACUUUCCUAGUUUCCCCCACAGUAAUUGUAUCAAUAAACCCCUCCACAUCGUCGCGAUGUGGUUCCUCUACUCUGCCCGUAAAAGGCAACUUGCAAACCUCACAAAAUUCAGAGAGGGGCAUCUCCUUAUACUCAUCAUAUAAAUAAAAAUCCACCAAAGGUGGUGACCUCCUAGAAUGGAAAUGAAAAUUUUGCACAAAGAUAUUGGUGAGUAAGAGAUAUUGUUCGCGUUGGUCGCGGAGGAAGUCGGUGAGGCCUGCAUUAUCAGCCAACUCAUAAAAAUCAUCAUAUAUCCCGGCUGCUCUCAAGAAAUCAUCACAAGGCCAUUCACACGGCCAAACUUCCGUGACGCGAGGGAGAUUAUAUUUGGGUAUCUCUUCUUCUUCACUUUGUUUAUCCUUCGAGCUUCGGCUCGAAGAACCCCUCAAAAAUCUCUUCAUCAUUUUCUGAAAAUUUCUGAAAUUUUUAGUAACUUCAAAUAAAAGUGAACAAAACUCAACAAAAUUGAUAGCAACUACUCCCACAAGUGCUUAGAGACUAAAUCAUGCAUUAGAACUACUUGGAACGAUAUAAAUUUGACAUGCAAGCUCAAGAACAUGGUCACCUAGGCAGCAAAAAAUUGCAAUGAAUAAAGCACUAGAACAAAAACUAAUUGGACCAUUGGAGGAGUCACAUACCAAGGAACAAUCUCCCAAAGCAGUUUUGUGAGAGGUGCUUUGAGCUAGGAGAUCAAAAAUCGCAGCAAAAUGAGCUAGAACUCAUGCUUGAGCUGGUUGGUGAUUUUUUUUGGAGGAAGAAGAAGUGUCUGGUGGCUGGAAUAAGUGGAGGGGAGCCACCGUGGGCCCACGAGGCAGGGGGCGCGCCCUAGACCCUCGUGGCCAGGUGCUUGCUCCCCCUGCUGUGUUCUCAGUGCCAGAUAUUCUCAAAUAUUCCAGAAAAAAAUCAUAUUUCUAUUUCGGGGCAUUUGGAGAACUUUUAUUUUCGGGGUAUUUUUUAUUGCACGGAUAAUUCAGAAAACUAACAGAAAAUACUAUUUUUGCUUUAUUUAUUCUAAAUAACGGAAAGUAAAAGGAGGGUACAAAGAGUUGUGCUUUCUAACUUCAUCCAUCUCAUGCUCAUCAAAAGGAAUCCACUAACAAGGUUGAUCAGGUCUUGUUAACAAACUCAUUCCGAAUCGCAUGAAACCGGAGAAAUUUCAAAUAACACUAAGUUACCUCAACGGGGAUAUACACAUCCCCAAUAAUAAGAAUAUCAUAUUUCUCUUGAUAGUAGGAAGAGGGAAUUCAAAACCUCCAAUAAUAAUCGAUGGAAUUUUUCCAAUAGAGUUUAUACUAUGAACUUGAAGUUGUUUCCUCGGAAAGUGUACCGUAUGCUCAUUACCAUUAACAUGAAAAGUGACAUUGCCUUUGUUGCAAUCAAUAACAGCCCCUGCAGUAUUCAAAAAGGGUCUUUCAAGAAUAAUAGACAUACUAUCAUCCUCGGGAACAUCAAGAAUAACAAAGUCCGUUAAAAUAGUAACGUUUGCAACCACAACAGGCACAUCCUCACAAAUACUGACAGGUAUAGCAGUUGAUUUAUCGGCCAUUUGCAAAGAUAUUUCAGUAGGUGUCAACUUAUUCAAAUCAAGUCUACGAUAUAAAGAGAGAGGCAUAACACUAACACUGGCUCCAAGAUCACAUAAAGCAGUUCUAACAUAGUUUCUUUUAAUGGAGCAUGGUAUAGUGGGUACUCCUGGAUCUCCAAGUUUCUUUGGUAUUCCACCCUUGAAAGUAUAAUUAACAAGCAUGGUGGAAAUUUCAGCUUCUGUUAUCUUUCUCUUAUUAGUAACAAUAUCUUUCAUAUACUUAGCAUAAGGAUUCAUUUUGAGCAUAUCAGUUAAACGCAUACGCAAGAAGAUAGGUCUAAUCAUUUCAGCAAAGCGCUCAAAAUCCUCAUCAUCCUUUUUCUUGGAUGGUUUGGGAGGAAAAGGCAUGGGUUUCUGAACCCAUGGCUCUCUUUCUUUGCCAUGCUUCCUAGCAACAAAGUCUCUCUUAUCAUAGCGUUGAUUCUUUGAUUGUGGGUUAUCAAGAUCAACAGCAGGUUCAAUUUCUACAUCAUUGUUAUUACUAGGUUGAGCAUCAACAUAAACAUCAUCAUUAACAUUAUCACUAGGUUCAUGUUCAUUACCAGAUUGUGUUUCAGAAUCAGAAAUAGAAAUAUCAUUGGGAUUCUCAGGUGUGUCAACAACAGGUUCACUAGAAGCAUGCAAAGUCCUAUCAUUUUUCUUUUUCUUCUUUUUAGAAGGACUAGGUGCAUCUACAUUAGUUCUCUGAGAAUCAUGCUCAAUUCUCUUGGGGUGACCUUCAGGAUACAAAGGUUCCUGAGUCACUUUACCCCUCUAGUUGCAACUCUAACAGCAAAGUCAUUAUUCUUACUAUCUAAUUCAUUGAGCAAAUCAUUCUGAGCUUUAAGUACUUGUUCUACUUGACUGGUAACCAUAGAAGCAUGUUUACUAAUGAGUUUAAGUUCACCUUUAACUCUAGACAUAUAAUCACUCAAGUGUUCAAGCAUAUCAGAAUUGUGUUUCAAUUGUCUACCAACAUAAGCAUUGAUGUUUUCUUGUUUGACAAUAAAAUUAUCAAACUCAUCUAGGCAUUGGCUAGCAGACUUAUAACGAGGAAUAUCAACUUCAUCAAAUCUAUAGAGAGAAUUUACCUUUACUACCUGUGUCGGGUUAUCAAGACCAUGUAUUUCUUCAACAGGUGGUAAAUUAAGACCAUGUGUUUCUUCAAUAGGAGGUAAAUUCUUAACAUCUUCAGCUUUUAUACCUUUUUCUUUCAUAGAUUUCUUUGCCUCUUGCAUAUCUUAAGGACUGAGAAAUAGAACACCCCUUCUCCUCGGAGUUGGCUUGGGAGUUGGUUCAGGAAGUGUCCAAUUAUUUUCAUUUGUCAACAUAUUAUUCAAUAGAAUUUCAGCUUCAUCGACAGUUCUUUCCCUGAAAACACAACCAGCACAACUAACCAGCUGGUCUCUGGAAGCAUCGGUUAGUCCAUUAUAAAAAAUAUCAAGUAUUUCAUUUUUCUUAAGAGGAUGAUCAGGCAAAGCAUUAAGUAAUUGGAGAAGCCUCCCCCAAGCUUGUGGGAGACUCUCUUCUUCAAUUUGCACAAAAUUAUAUAUUUCCCUUAAAGCAGCUUGUUUCUUAUGAGUAGGGAAAUAUUUAGCAGAGAAGUAAUAAAUCAUAUCCUGGGGACUACGCACACAACCAGGAUCAAGAGAAUUAAACCAUAUCUUAGCAUCACCCUUUAAUGAGAACGGAAAUAUCUUAAGGAUAUAAUAGUAGCGAGUUUUCUCGUCAUUAGUGAACAGGGUGGCUAUAUCAUUUAAUUUAGUAAGAUGUGCCACAACAGUUUCAGAUUCAUAGCCAUAGAAAGGAUCACAUUCAACCAAAGUAAUUAUAUCAGGGUCGACAGAGAAUUCAUAAUCCUUAUCAGUAACAAAGAUAGGUGAAGUUAGCAGGAUCAUGUUUCAUUCUAGCAUUUAGAGAUUUUUGUUUCAGCUUAGCUAAUAAUUUCUUAAGAUCACUCCUAUCAUUGCAAGCAAGAAAGUCUCUAGCAGUUUCUUCAUCCAUAACAUAGCCCUCAGGCACAACAGGCAAUUCAUAUCUAGGGGGAGAAUCUUCAUCGUCACUUUCAUCAAUAUUAUCAGUUUCAAUAAUUUCAUUCUCUCUAGCCCUAGCAAGUUGUUCAUCAAGAAAUUCACCAAGUGGCACAGUAGUAUCAAGCAUAGAAGUAGUUUCAUCGUAAGUAUCAUGCAUAGCAGAAGUGGCAUCAUCAAUAACAUGCGACAUAUCAGAAUUAAUAGCAGAAGCAGGUUUAGGUGUCGCAAGCUUACUCAAUACAGAAGGUGAAUCAAGUGCAGAGCUAGAUGGCAGUUCCUUACCUCCCCUCGUAGUUGAGGGAUAAAUUUUAGUUUUCUCAUCUUUCAAGUUCCUCAUAGUGACCAGCACAUAUAAAUCCCAAGUGACUCAAGGAAAGUAUAGGGGAUCGCAACAGUUUUCGAGGGUAGAGUAUUCAACCCAAAUUUAUUGAUUCGACACAAGGGGAGCCAAAGAAUAUUCUCAAGUAUUAGCAGUUGAGUUGUCAAUUCAACCACACCUGGAUAACUUAAUAUCUGCAGCAAAGUAGUAUGAUAGUAGUGGUAACGGUAGCAAAAGUAACAGUGAUAGUUUUGUAGUGAUUGUAACAGUAGCAACGGAAAAGUAAAUAAGCGAAGAACAAUAUGUGAAAAGCUCAUAGGCAUUGGAUCGGUGAUGGAGAAUUAUGUCGGAUGUGAUUAUCCAUGCAACAGUUAUAACAUAGGGUGACACAGAACUAGCUCCAAUUCAUCAAUGUAAUGUAGGCAUGUAUUCCGAAUAUAGUCAUACGUGCUUAUGGAAAAGAACUUGCAUGACAUCUUUUGUCCUACCCUCCCAUGGCAGCGGGGUCCUAGCGGAAACUAAGGGAUAUUAAGGCAUCCCUUUAAUAGAGUACCGGACCAAAGCCUUAACACAUAGUGAAUACAUGAACUCCUCAAACUAUGGUCAUCACCGGGGGUGGUCCCGAUUAUUGUCACUUCGGGGUUGCCGGAUCAUAACACAUAGUAGGUGACUAUAGACUUGCAAGAUAGGAUCAAGAAAUCACAUAUAUUCAUGAAAACAUAAUAGGUUCAGAUCUGAAAUCAUGGCACUCAGGCCCUAGUGACAAGCAUUAAGCAUAGCAAAGUCAUAGCAACAUCAAUCUCAGAACAUAGUGGAUACUAGGGAUCAAACCCUAACAAAACUAACUCGAUUACAUGAUAAAUCUCAUCCAACCCAUCACCGUCCAGCAAGCCUACGAUGGAAUUACUCACGCACGGCGCUGAGCAUCAUGAAAUUGGUGAUGGAGGAUGGUUGAUGAUGAUGAUGGCGACGGAUUCCCCUCUCCGGAGCCCCGAACGGACUCCAGAUCAGCCCUCCUGAGAGAGUUUAGGGCUUGGCAGCGGCUUCGUAUCGUAAAACGCGAUGAAUCCUUCUCUCUUAUUUUUUCUCCCCGAACACGAAUAUAUAGAGUUGGAGUUGAGGUCGGUGGAGCUCCAGGGGGCCCACGAGGCAGGGGGCGCGCGGGGCAGGCGCGCCCCCCACCCUCGUAGACAGGGUGUGGACCCCCUGGCCUUGAUUCUUUCGCCAGUAUUUUUAUUAUUUCCAAAAAUAAUCUCCGUGAAGUUUCAGGUCAUUCCGAGAACUUUUGUUUCUGUACAAAGAUAACACCAUGGCAAUUCUGCUGAAAAUAGCGUCAGUCCGGGUUAGUUCCAUUCAAAUCAUGCAGGUUAGAGUCCAAAACAAGGGAAAAAGUGUUUGAAAAAGUAGAUACGACGGAGACGUAUCAACUUUGUGUCCUCAGGUUUAAAUACCUAGUCGCUCCAACCAGACGUACGACUGUCACAGCAGUUGGAACCGGUCUACAUAAUCAUUGUCUUCACCGAGCUAACUGGUUCUAUCUCCUCAACCCUUUCAUUUCCUCAUUACUGUGUUGUGUACUUGAUCGGUACUGUUUCAAGACAUUUGACUGAAGACUUUCUCAAUUUCUCAGUUCAAUUUCUUCAGUCAGUUUGUCUUCAGCCUUUUUAUCCUGUGUUUACGCUUUCUGUACUCUGUGCUAGUUUUCUUUUCAUCAUGAUGACUGCGCUUCUGUCAUGUUAUGCUUGCACCUGAGUACUUAUUCCGCUGCUAGUAGUUCUUUACUUAGAAAUUUCCUCACCCUGAAAUUCCUCAGUGAAGAAUUCAUAAAAAUCGCCUAUUCACCCCAUCUAGUCGACUUAACGCACUUUCAAUCCGACUGUGAAAAUGUUUUGGGAUUUUGACAAAUGGAUCUACAAAAAAGAGAAAAACUCCUAGGUUGCCACUUGUGAUCCCCUGAAGAGGUGGGAGAGACCUUUGCAUGCAGUACCACUUAAAUAGUGAUUUCAGUCAGACGGGUGAGCCAACGGACACGGGCAAGUGCGCCAGGCCAGCCUAGUAAGAGGUUUGAUGUAGCGUCAUCGCACUGUAUAAAAUACGGAUUACUGUAGUGUGAAUCAAUAGCUUUCUGUCUGGCCUAGUAAAUGUUUGCGACCUAGUUUUUCAGUGUUUUUUGUAAUUUUUCUUCACAUUAUCCAAAUGUUGUUCAGAAUUUUAAAAAAUUGCCCUCCUUUUAAAAAACAUCAGAAAUUCAGAAAAGUUCAUGUUUUAGAAAAUGUUCAGUAUUUUCAAAUAAUAUUCAUGUUAUCAAAAUUUAGUCACGAUUCCAGAAAAUGUUUCUGUUUCGAAUUAGUUUAAUAUAUUCAAAUGUGUUCUUGUCUCCGAAAAAAAUCAGGCAACUUAAUAAAAUGUUCUUUUUUUCCAAAAAAAUAGAAUUUUCUAAAAUGUUUCCUUUUUCAAGAUUUUCUCACCAUUAAAACAAAUCUGCUUGCACAAAAUUUUGUUCUGGUAUUUCAAAUUUUGUUCAUUUUUCUAGAUUUCAAAAUUUUGUUCUGGUAUUUCUAAAAAAAUUCCUGUUUCAAUUUUUUUCUCAAAUCAAAAAUUGUUUCUGUUUCUCUUUUUUCAGAAUUUCAAAUUUAUUACCAUUUUGGAAAAUUGUUCACAGGGGUCAAAAAAUGUUUGUAAUUUCAAAGAAAUCUGUUUUUCGUAAAUUUAUUCAAAAUUUUGGAAAAUUUCAAGUUUCAUAAAACAUAAAAAUAAAAUAAAAGCCAUGUUCGAAUUUUUCAAAAGAUGUUCAAAUCCAUCAACACUUAUAAUUUGAAAAGGUCUGAGCCGCUCGUUUGAUCACAAAAAUUUAGUUGUUUCAGUGGCUAGGCACGCAGUUUGGAGCAAGAGGUCUUGCGAAUCCCUCUUUACACGCACUGUUUUGUGAUUUUUUGUUUGUACAGCGCCAGAAAAUAGAUCUGCCUAGCAAAUCUAUUUAUGUGUGCCUUGCGAGUGUAUUUGCCGCAAAGAGCGGUAGAUAGGAGGUCCCGGCUGCCGCGCCUGAAGCAAGCACGAAACUAGACCAGCCCAGCCUGCGGGAGGGCACAGGCCUCAAAAGCACUUGUUUUUUCUGGUACUUCUUCUAUCAUAAUAUUUUUAUUUUUCAUUUUGUGCAUGUAAUUAAUUUUUUAAAUGUGUAUAAAAAAUGUUUCCAAUGUACACAAAAAAUAUACGAGGUGUAUAGAGGAAACAGACAUGAAAACUAUUAAUAAUGUAUCUGGAAAAAGUUAAACUUGUAUUAAAAAAAUGUUCUUGGUGUGUUAAAAAAAGUACAAUAUGUAAGAAAAAGUAAUAAAUUAAAAAUUAUAUGCUGAAUAAAAUGUUAAUCAAGUGUUUGUAAAUUUUUAAACAUAAGUUCCUGAUGUAUACGAAAAUGUGCAAUGUUUAUUGAAAAAGGAGACAUAAAAAACUUAUGUUUUCAAAAAUAUUAACCAUGUAUUUUCAAAAUGAUAAAUGUGUAUAUAAAAAUGUUCCGGAGGUAAAAAAUACAAUGUGUAUGAGAGAAAUAGACAACAAAAUAUACAAGUUUUGUAAAUGUUCAUCAUGUAUUUGAGCUUGUAUAUAAAAAUAUUACCGGUGUAUACAAAAGUUGUACAAAGAAAAACAAAGAAAACCAAUUUAAAUUAAAAAAAUGAAGAAAAAUUGAAAAUGAAUUAAAGCAAAAAAGUGAAAAUCGAGAAAGAAAACAAUAAACCAGUAAAACCGUGAAAGCAACGAAGAAACCAUGUAAUAACAUAGAAAGCGGAAAAUGAAAGAAGACUAGGAAGAAACAAAGAAAUAAAAUGAAAAAUAAAAAGAAAAAAUAUAUAUGCGAAGAAACACAAAGCAAAAACAAUACAACAAGCGAGCGAGGAGCAAGCGGUCGAUCCCGAGCGAACAAGCGAGGAGAAUAAAUGGGCAGGCCCACUACAACACGACGCUUCAAUUCCAUCCGCGAUCAAGUCAAGGAGGAAGACAUAGAGAUUUGCAAGAUACAUACGGAUCUGAAUGUUGCAGACCCGUUGACUAAGCCUCUCUCACGAGUAAAACAUGAUCAGCACCAAGAAUCUAUGGGUGUUAGAAUCAUUACUGUGUAAUCUAGAUUAUUGACUCUAGUGCAAGUGGGAGACUGAAAGAAAUAUGCCCUAGAGGCAAUAAUAAAGUUGUUAUUUAUAUUUCCUUAUGUCAUGAUAAAUGUUUAUUAUUCAUACUAGAAUUGUAUUAACCGGAAACUUAGUACAUGUGUGAAUACAUAGACAAACAUAGUGUCACUAGUAUGCCUCUACUUGACUAGCUUGUUAAUCAAAGAUGGUUAAGUUUCCUAACCAUAGACAUGAGUUGUCAUUUGAUUAACGGGAUCGCAUCAUUAGAGAAUGAUGUGAUUGACAAGACCUAUCCAUUAGCUUAGCACGAUGAUCAUUUAGUUUGUUGCUAUUGCUUUCUUCAUGACUUAUACAUGUUCCUAUGACUAUGAGAUUAUGCAACUCCCGAAUACCGGAGGAACACUUAGUGUGCUAUCAAACGUCACAACGUAACUAGAUGAUUAUAAAUAUGCUCUACAGGUGUCUUCGAUGGUGUUUGUUGAGUUGGCAUAGAUCGAGAUUAGGAUUUGUCACUCCGAUUGUCGGAGAGGUAUCUCUGGGCCCUCUCGGUAAUGCACAUCACUAUAAGCCUUGCAAGCAAUGUGACUAAUGAGUUAGUUGUGGGAUGAUGCAUUACGGAAUGAGUAAAGAGACUUGCCGGUAACGAGAUUGAACUAGGUCUUGAGAUACCGACGAUCAAAUCUCGGGCAAGUAACAUACCGAUGACAAAGGGAACAACGUAUGUUGUUAUGCGUUUUGAUCGAUAAAGAGCUUCGUAGAAUAUGUGGGAGCCAAUAUGAGCAUCUAGGUUCCGCUAUUGGUUAUUGACCGGAGAUGAGUCUCGGCCAUGUCUACAUAGUUCUCGAACCCGUAGGGUCCGCACGCUUAACGCUCGAUGACGGUCGGUAUUAUGAGUUUAUGUGUUUUAAUGUACCGAAGGUUGUUCGGAGUCCCGGAUGUGAUCACGGACAUGACGAGGAGUCUUGAAAUGGUCGAGACAUAAAGAUUGAUAUAUUGGAAGAUGUUAUUCGGACACCAGAUGAGUUCCGGGGGUCACCGGAUAAAUAUCGGAGUGCCGGAGGGGUUAUCGGAACCCCCAGGGGAACUAAUGGGCCAACAUGGGCCUUGUGAGAGAUAGAGGAGGGCCCCUAGGGAUGGCCGCCCCCCGCCCCCUUGAGGAGUCCGAAUUGGACUAGGAGGGGGCGGCGCCCCCCUCUUUCCCUCUCCCUCUCUCCCUCUCCUUCCUUCCCCCUCUCUUCCCUUGUUGGAAACCUACUAGGAAUAGGAUUCCUAGUAGGAAUCCUACUUGGGGUGCGCCCUAUGAGGGCCGGCCGGCCUCCCCUUGCUCCUUUAUAUACGGGGGCAGGGGGCACCCUAGAACACACAAGUCAACAGUUGUUUUAGCCGUGUGCGGUGCCCCCCUCCACAGAUUUCCACCUCGGUCAUAUCGUUGUAGUGCUUAGGCGAAGCCCUGCGUUGAUAACUUCAACACCACCGUCAUCACGCCGUCGUGCUAACGAAACUCUCCCUCAGCCUCAGCUGGAUCAAGAGUUCGCGGGACGUCACCGAGCUGAACGUGUGCAGAUCGCGGAGGUGCCGUGCGUUCGGUACACUAGUAGAAAACAGGGCUUUGGUUCGGCCAGAAAAGAGCAUUAAUCCCUGUUGCAUUACGAACCGGGACUAAUGUGAGCAUUAGUCCCGGUUCGAGCGGCUAGGGCACCGUACAGGCAUUAGUCCCGGUUCAAAUGGGACCUUUAGUCCCGGUUGGUGCCACGAACCGAGACUAAAGGGUGCGAUGCCCAUUAGUACCGGUUCAUGGCACCAACCGGUACUAAAGGUUAGACCUUUAGUCCCGGUUCGAGCCACCAACCGGUACUAAUGGGGUUUGAGGCAUUAGUACCGGUUCAUGGCACGAACCGGUACUAAAGGUCCCAUUUUCAAACUCUACCCCCCCCCCUUGGAUCGCCUUUUCAGUUUUGUAAAAAGCAAAAGAAAAUGAUAAAAACUUCAAAAAUUAAAAUCCUUCUAGAUGUAGUUAUGUUACUACAUGUACUAGUUAGGAAAAUUUAAAAACUUAAAUUUGGACAUGUUUUGCAAAAAGUGUAGGGAAAAUGUAAAACGGCGACAACUUUUGCAUACGAUGUCAGAAAAAAACGUAUAAUAUAUCAAAAUGUUCAGCAUGAAAAUCCGCAUCCGAUUUGGACAGCCUACGGCUUGUUUGCAAAUUUUUAGAAUCCUCAAAUUCUAAAAGGAAAAAAAGUUAUGCUCAAAUUUCUGUUUUUUUUUAUUUUUUGUUAAAUCUGGUCAAACUACUUAUUCAAGAAGUAUUAGUGUUACUAAAUAAUUAUUCAACAAUAUUAGUGUUACUAAAUAAUUAUUUCAGUUUUUUUGAAUUUUGGUCAAAUCUGGUCAAACGGUGGUCAAACAAUGGUCAAACUAAUUAUUCAAGAAAUAUUAGUGUUACUAAAUAAUUAUUUCAGUUUUUUGAAUUUUGGUCAAAUCUGGUCAAACUGUGGUCAAACUAUGGUCAAACUACUUAUUCAAGAAAUACUAGUGUUACUAAAUAAUUAUUGUUUUUUAGAACAAUAGUUUCAAACUCAAACAGUGAAAUGUGUGACUUCAUGCUCAAGCUAAAUUCCUGAGGGUUAAUAGGAUUGACAUCUUACUAUUGUCAGGAAAACAACAAGUGCAGACUUGGAAACGAGGGAGAAUAGAACCCGGAAGUUAAGCGUGCUCAGGCUGGAGUAGUGAGAGGAUGGGUGACCGUCCGGGAAGUUAGAUGAUUUGGAAUGAUGAGGGGUGAUUAGAGAUUAGAGGUUAAAUUGAGCAGUGAUGAGGGGUGAUUAGAGAUUAGAGGUUAAAAUAAUUCAAAAAUUUGAAAUUCAAAAAAAAUCAUAAAAUUUCCACCAACCGGUACUAAAGGUGGACCUCCAGGCAGCGGCCACGUGGAGGGCCUUUAGUCCCGGUUCGUGUAAGAAGCGGGACUAAAGGGGGAGGCUUUAGUAACGACCCUUUAGUCCCGGUUACAGAACCGGGACUACAGGCCCUUUUUCUACUAGUGGUACUUGAUUGGUUGGAUCGCGAAGACGUUCGACUACAUCAACCGCGUUAUUUAACGCUUCCGCUUUCGGUCUACGAGGGUACGUGGACACACUCUCCCCGCUCGUUGCUAUGCAUCUCCUAGAUAGAUCUUGCGUGAUCGUAGGAAAUUUUUUGAAAUACUGCGUUCCCCAACAAAAACUGCCCGUUUGGCCUCGUCAUAGUAGUUGCGCACAGUCUAGGGGCAAAACUGAGCACGAUUCACAACUGAGGGAAAAACUGAGCACAUGGACACCACCGAGGGCAAAAGGAUAAUUAGCCCUUCUAGAAAUGUUGCAAUGAACAUCAUAAUCAUGGGUUGUUGGAACAUUCCGAUGGAGCGAGACACUAGAAUUUCUAAUAGUUGCAAUCCUAGAAAUCAGUCCUAGAAGCUGCUGCUCAAAAAGGACUGGAUCAUGGUAGGAUACAAAAUUAGCCACAAGUUUCUUCAAGCUCAUUAAGAGUGGAUUGGUUCAAACUUAUAGUUUCAGAAUGGUUUAACAAUUUCUUAUAAACCUUCCAAAUAUGUUUCCCAGAGCAGGCAUUGGAUAGACGGGAUUUAGACGGGCAUUGAAUGCGAAUGACCAUUUGACCUAAACCCGAGAUGCAAAAGUGAUGAACCUUGUGAUUAACUAGUAGAAUGCCCGUGCGGUGCUACGGGCCGCAAUGCUUAUAACAUAGUUGCCGGUGCGUGAUGGACCAUUUUUCGGAUAUAGGACAAUGCGCAUGUGUUGCAACAGGGUAUAUAUUUCCUUAUGGCUCAACACUAACCGUGUCUAACAUAGUUGUAGGAACCUCGUGCACAUUAGACAACAUGUCUUACCGCAAACUAAAUUCUCUCUCCCUCCCUCCCUCCCUCCCUCCCCAAGUCAGCAUGUAAGACUAAAGUUAAUUGCAUUUGUGAUACAAAGUAUUAAAUAUUAUAGUGGUAAUAUCAAGCGUGGCUAGCAUAUACCUUUAGGAUUUACGAAUCAUACUCUAUUAAUCCACACACUAGCCUCACAACGUCGCCUACCCAAGGAAAGCUCGCCACGGGACAUCCGACUCGUAAUCCCCCCUUUUAUCACCACGGACACACUUUGAAUUGCAAAUUCAAAUACAUAACCAUGUAGUUUGAUUAUAUUUCACAAUGUGCUUGCAGUUUCCAUCACAAUGAACUUCUGCCUUCCUCUCUCCCCUUCCACCGCCAUCUCUCUCUAGUCCUCAAUGUAACCACGUUGAUGCCCUCGAGUACACAAAUAGUCAGAACUAUGCAUUUAAUCCUUAUAUUUUUGGCAGCUUGCAUUUUUGCACUACUCGAACUGCAAAUAUUCUUACUUCUACAUAGGAUUAAAUAGAAUUUAAACCUUUUUUUUGCAACAUCAGAACAAGAACCGCCUUCAAGAUCAUUCAUACAACUGUUCAGACUUCUCCAUGGGAUUUAAACCCUUCUUUUUAAAUCUUAUUGUACUGUGCAUGAGUAAAACCAAUGAAAUACAACCAAAAUAAAGGAGAGCAUGAUGCAUCCUUUUAGUGCCCAGUCAAAAACAAAGGAGAACAUACGCUUUUAAAGAAAGCAAAAUGAAUUACCACAUACACACGUAAGGUAACUUUUUAGACCCUUCUUUCUCAUGUCUGUAAUAUACUGUGGACAAGUAAAAUCGAUGAAAUAGAAGCGGAAUAUUAGUAUGCAUCGCCGCACUCAUGAUUUAUAAGUAGAAGAUGUGCCUAGAAGACAAUCAGGUAAAAUUUCACCACUUAUGUGUGGUAGUUAACUGAUUAAACAAUCUGGCAAACAUCACUAAACAUCACCUAGUCAGUUCAAUAGCUACAAGCUUGUUUUAUACGUUAUUGAAAAAUAUAGCUUCAGCAUCUUGUGAUCAAUGUUGGCUAACAUCGUACAUGGCCUGACCUUUUUGGGCCAAUACAAAUUGGCUUUGCUAGCUUCAUCUUGAAGGUGGGGGACCUUGUCUACUGAACCUUAUCAUCAAAGAACCGCAAUAGCAAGCAAUUCUUCUCUUCCAUACUAUUGCAUGUAUAUUAGAAGAGGAACAAAUUAGAUACACAGGGAAAAACAAAUUAUUGGUUUUAAUUGUGUCGAACUAGGAUCAUGAAUAAAAAGGGCCACAUUUGUGAUAAUGUUACAAAGACAAAUUAAUAUCAUGACAUUUUUAGGUCUUUGCAUUAACUAGUCUCGAUUUAACAAAGGGACAACAUAAUACUGGGGCAUAGCUACCUUCUAUGAUAUAACGAAAUACUGUAACAAAUAGGAAAUAUCAUGACGCUCAAUAUGCUGAUUUCUAGAAUAUUUAUAGCAAAGAUACUCCCGGGACAUCAGUGCACAAGUGCAGCAAGCAAUGACAUAUAUGGUGCCUCAUAACAGCCAUCAAUUUGUAUCCCUAUGGGUAGGUGUCUAUGAGAAUAGAAUGGAUUGCAGUACUACUGAUUCUCUGCUGGUUGUAGGUCUUUGCAUUAAGUGGCUUCAAUUUUAAUUCAAAGUAAAAUAGAACAACAUAUUACAUGUUUGCCUGUAUUUGUAAACAUUCAAAAACCGAUCUUACCGAAAAGUUAUUCAAGCUAUUAUUUCCCUGCAUACUAUAUGCCCCCGUCGGUUUCAAAAUGCAAUACCUAUUUGUUUGACAACGCAUGCUCCUGCUCGCCAUCACCUUGCUCGACAUCCGGAGCCAAGGGAUGCGGUAUCCGCCACGGCAAGCCCUGGGGAGGCUCUUUGGGAGAUUUUUUACUACCGCAAGCUGAAUGGGGCUCUCAACCAGCAAUUUAUUAACAUAUAAGGAAGCUCACGUCGAGAGCCGCGGAAGUACAAACGUCCAAAGAUAUAAUGUCGUGCGAAAGCGGCUAGGCAAGCUUCCAUGGACUGCUCAGCGUUUCAAAUGUUCAGAGAUGAGACAUUCAAAUGUGGAUUGAGCAUCAGUAUUAUCUCAGCCUGCGUAAAAUGAAUUAAAAUGUGUGAGGAAGAUAAAAUACUCCUGAGUUUUAAUAAGCUAAGAACCAAUUAAUUUAUUUUUGGCAAGAAAUAAGUGUAUAAAAUUAGAAUAAUAGGGUGCAAUACCAUCUGAAUGAAUAAUUUAAGCUAGGAAAAAUAGUACAUAAAUGAGUGUGGUGUUUUUAUUUCCAUUCACGAGUCAUUGACAUCAGGUUAUCUUCUCUUUUCCUCUGUGUGAGACUGCACCUACAUAUUUGGCACCCCAGUUUUCCUUGAAGUUUAGUAUCAAGCGUCUUCUUUGACAUAAGAGUUAAGUGCCAGCAUAGAAUUGGAUGUUAAUGCAAGCUUGCGAGAUACACAUAAGAGUUAAGCCUCAAGGUGAAUGCAUGUGCGUCGCUACGGGAUACAAAAUAGAAAACAUAUUGAGAUUUGAGAACGACAAACAGGGUCACAAUCUAAUUCCAUGGGGAUUAUAUUUAACUUCCACCUAUGUUAGGAUCAACAUGCACCCUUUGAACACUAUUCCAGCCUGUUUGUUUCUACAUGGUAAGAAUAUUUACAUAAAUGCAUUAAGCAAAUGUUAACUCCAAACCUUUCCAUUGACAUCUCCAUAUAUAGUACACGCUCCGCCAAUCAUUUCCUUUCAUUUGACAUCCAUUGUUCCAUCCUGCAAAGCUGACAUAAUUGAUAAUGAACGAGACCAUGGAACUAUAACAUUUUUAUACUACAAAAACUUUAUAGGCAUUUACUCAAUGGAGCAGCUAAAACCUGGCAGAAGCCGUUUUGAAAUGUUAGGGCAUUUCUAACUGAUCCCUAAUAACCGGUUAGAGGAGUAAAAUCCUGACUUUACUCCCCUAACCGGGACCUAGCCGACCCCCAAUCGGUGCUACUGGAGUAAAAAUUAUUAUACUNNNNNNNNNNNNNNNNNNNNNNNNNNNNNNNNNNNNNNNNNNNNNNNNNNNNNNNNNNNNNNNNNNNNNNNNNNNNNNNNNNNNNNNNNNNNNNNNNNNNNNNNNNNNNNNNNNNNNNNNNNNNNNNNNNNNNNNNNNNNNNNNNNNNNNNNNNNNNNNNNNNNNNNNNNNNNNNNNNNNNNNNNNNNNNNNNNNNNNNNNNNNNNNNNNNNNNNNNNNNNNNNNNNNNNNNNNNNNNNNNNNNNNNNNNNNNNNNNNNNNNNNNNNNNNNNNNNNNNNNNNNNNNNNNNNNNNNNNNNNNNNNNNNNNNNNNNNNNNNNNNNNNNNNNNNNNNNNNNNNNNNNNNNNNNNNNNNNNNNNNNNNNNNNNNNNNNNNNNNNNNNNNNNNNNNNNNNNNNNNNNNNNNNNNNNNNNNNNNNNNNNNNNNNNNNNNNNNNNNNNNNNNNNNNNNNNNNNNNNNNNNNNNNNNNNNNNNNNNNNNNNNNNNNNNNNNNNNNNNNNNNNNNNNNAUGGCCGGACGCGGUGGCCGGAGGUCCCCGCCGCCGAUCCGAAGCUUCGAUCCGCGCCACCACGGGAGCCGCGCGUCCUCCUUCGUCAAUCUUCCUCAAGCGGCCGCGGCCGCCGCCCCCUCUCCGGCCUGGCUCUCCGGCUUCUCCACUUUGAGGACACACGCUGGGCAAAUAAACUCAACUUACCACUAUUUUUAGGGGAUCGGUUAGAAAUGCCCUUAGGAAAGUACUGCAGACCAAAAGAACAUGGUGGGCAAAUAAACUCAACUUACCAUUACCAAUCAUGACUUCCAUGGAUGCCAAACCAAUUUCAAUCUUGAAUGGUAUAACCAAGUCGUGCUCUCGGCUCUUUUCCUUCAUAUCCCAUUGCAAAAUUUAGAAGUAUUUGAAAAUCAGAAAUGCCAACAAUUAGUAUUAGUUAAUCAACAAUUGUGCUACUGUAAAAUGCACGGUAACAACCCACUACUAUAAUAGUCAAACAACACCUUAAAUUAGGCCUAAAAACUAUGGAAAUGCAACAUUAACGCUAGUAUUAAACCCACUUGAGCUUCUGCUUGGCUAAUACCUACAAUUAUAGCCAUUAUCAAAUAGUUGUCGUAAAGCUUACUGAGAUGAAAAUGUUCUGUAGAUGAAAAGAACACUCACAUAUGUUAUUCCUCAUCUUUUAUUCUGAGUUCAUGGAUAAAUGUGCCAAACAAAGACACUAUUGCAUCUCCGGUGUGCUGCCAAAUUCUUAAGAAAUGUUAUAAUUCCAUGGUCUUCAUUCUUCAUUGUCGAUCAUGUCAGCUCUGCAGGAAGGAUCAACCAUUAAUAUACACUAAUCUUAUGAAUAACAUAAUCUUAAACCUAAGGUAUUACUUCUAGAAACAAAUCAAUGAUUUUAGAAAUGCAGGAUUUGUUCAGCCUGAGAACCAAACAACAACUUCAACCAAAGCAUGGGUGAAGAAAUGAAAGGAGGAUGAUGAAGACAAUAGCGUGGACUCCGGCAGCAGCUAGACUCGCGGAGGUGACGGGAGGCGAGGGGAAACGGGAAAGGGAGGACAUGCGCCCCUCACACCGAAGCAAUAUGCCACAUAAGACACUUGGUGAUGCCAUUGAUCCAUACCACAUCCUGUGUGAGGUUAAAUAGUACCACUGUCUCCGUACAAUCUGCAUGACCAAAAAAAUUCCAGUCAACGAGAUUUGGCAUGACCAAACAUAAUAGUUCAAAUCAACAAUAAGAGGCGAAUCAUGAACAGAAGCAUAAUAACAGUGUACCAGAACCAUUCUUCUAGACAUGUAAUCUGUAAAUUUUCCAGCUCAACUAAAUAAUAUGAAAAGAUAGCCAGCUAAACUCAAAAAUUAAAAUUGAAAUGAAGCCAUUGGCAUCAACUGUAGGAUUCACCUACAAUAGCUUAAAAAUAUAUGCACUGUAGCUCAAAUUUUCAGCACAACAACACAUUCUCCACAAUAGCAUCGAAUUUCGGCACCUUAUUUGGAAAAUAAUAAACAACAUAAACAAGGGAUUGAGAGGAGGAGAUAUUUCAUGGUAAUUACCUUCUAGCUACUGAUGGAUAGAGCAGCACGUUGCAUAGGAGAUCAGAGCGUGCUCCAGAGAGGACGACCGUGGCACAGAUGAGAUCGAGGCAGAGCUCGAACCGGAAGGAGGCUUCAAAACAUCUGACAUAACAUCACAAACAUUUUCAGAGGCUGGAGAUGUUUCAGGCACUCGAGAUGCAUUUUUCACAACAGCAUCUGAAUUCUCCAACUCACAAUAACAGAUUGCGCGAGUGGAAAUGCUAAAUCGAUGCCUACUUAUUCAUAUCUCCAGUCCGAACUAAGAUUAAUCCAGGUUGCACACGCACUGGAUAUCACACGAGGAAUCAAAACCGGAUGCACGUGAAAGCAUAGAGAUGGGAGAGGAGCACAGAGGAAGAGAAGGGCAAGAGGAACCUAAGGAUGUCUGCGAUGAAGGAGCGAUGCCAGAACAUCACAAAGGGGGACCCGUAGCUCGUCACGUGGCGCGGCCACCUCAUUGUCGGCUGCCACCCCGCGCUACCGCCUCCCUGCGCAGGUUCCGCUCAUGGAGCAUGACGAGCGCAUGGCCUACCUUCACCGCGGCCUGGUCCUCCCCACUAUGUGAAGCUCGCACGUGUCGCCGCCGCAAUUGCUCAGGAUGACGGAUGAAGAUCCUACAGCAGCGACGUGGGUGAGGGAUGCAGCCGACGGUGCGCAACAUGCAAAGGGAUCCGCAAAGAAGGCGAAGGCGGACCUCGGCAGCGGUGUCCCGAUGGCGACCCGGAGGUCCGCAACAAUGGCUGCGGCGCCUCCUUUAGGACCUCGGCGCCGGGUCCUCGAUGACCCCUCGGCGCGGGCGACUGGUUUUCGUCGAUGUAGAUAAUAGAUCAGCGAUGUUUCAGUGAUCGACGAUGGUUUCCAUCGAUGUAAUGAAUAGAUCGACGACGCUUCAAGGAUCCGCGAUGGCGGCGGCGGCGUGGUUCCCGUCUUUGUAGCGAAUAGAUCGAGGCCAGCCUCGAUCGUCAGUUUUUCUUCGUGCUAGGGGUUGUCGCUCCCAGGCUCGUCUGUUUCAUCUGGUUUUUGUUCGUGUGAGGGGGCGUCGCUACGUGGUUGUCGCCCAAUUUUUUUUGGUUAGGUGCGAGGGGUCGUUACGGGGAGGUGGGAGGAGGGAUGAAAAAAAAGCCAGGCAGAGGUGGGAGGUUGAGACGAAAAAAACGAACGAAACGGAGACUACCAAGUGGAGAUAAGGAAUUUUCUCAUUGUGAUACGUGAUCACGUGAGGGCGUGGCUUCGACGGUUGUGUUUUUUUCCUAGUGGAGCUAAGUAUGGAAGGGGAUCGGUGGAAGAAAUAAAUCGGAGAGGGAGGUGAUCUAUUUGGAAGGUGAUAUCAUGUAUAUGGUAUUAUUUCUGAAUUCUUAUUAUCAAAUAUUUACAUGAUUGAAUUGAAUCGACACCUGCCAAAGCAAUCACGAAUAAAUGGAAGGAGUAUCAGACGCGAUUCGGUUUUAAGUGUGCAGAAGAAGAAAUUAACGUGGGAGGGAUUGUGGGAGGUGAGACGAAAAUAAACCGAAUGAAAAUUAACCAGACAAAAAAAACGUGGAGGCUAUUCUACCAACUGAGACAUUAGGAGUAGAGAUACUCCAAGGAGCUUGAUUUACUUUGUUGAAAAUAUUUUUAUAUUUUCAGAAUAAAUAAUAACUGCAAAAAACAUGUAAACAAUGUUGAAAGGUGUUUUUUAUGUACUCCCUCCGAUCCAUAUUAAUUGUCCAGCUUACUCCGAUCCAUAGAGUAGACAAUUGGUCUGGGGUUUGUAGUUUCACCAAUAGUAACUUUCCACGAGAUAAAAGCACGGCAAAGGUCACAUAGUUAUUUGAAUUGAAAUAUUUCAUACUUACGAUAGAAUUUGUAUGAUGUGAUGGAAUUACAUAGAGAGUACAUUCAUAAAGUGACAUACUGUUGAUUGUACCCCCAAAGCCUUUAGCUCUUUAUUGUGACAAACACGUUUACUAACUUCAAUCCUUAGUGGCAAUAGCAUAAUGCAAGCAUUCUCCUUUUGUUAUCACCAAUGUAGAUUACUUGCAAGAUUAACCGAACAAAUGCACACCACUCUCUCUGUGUUGGACAUAAUAUAGAUCUAUUACCAGUGACAAGUUAACAAUAGUAUAAUUGCAGAGGCAUUUUGCUCCUAGACAUUGAGUAUCACCGCCAUGUGAACAAAAAGAUGACUGACAACUUGGGAGCGCUUUAACAGACUUGACUACAACAUGUAAGUUAAUCUUCUACUGGACUAAAAGCGCACCAUACCCAAGUCCAUUAACUAUACGCCCAAGUCCAUUAACUGUGACCACUUCAAACCAUUGUUUCCUGCUUUGAUGUUUUGCCCUUAUUUCACCUUGUGCAGAGAAUUAACCAAGCAACAACUAGCGGUAUACCUUUGAGUGCUGGACUGCAUAGUAGGAGGGAGAUGUUAGUAUUGUUCUAUAGAUGUUGAUUCGAAAGUUACAUAGGGAAGGUGUAUGUGCCUGGUCAUAAGUUGUUGACAAUUGUUCUUCGGUUCAAUUUUGAUGUUUCUCCAACAUGAAGAGACUGCAAGAAAGACUCAAAAAGUAUGUUUGGUGGCACAAGGCAUGGUCUUACUAUUUUAAAAACAAAAAUUGAUUGUACUGAUAUCUCAUGUUGUCGUAUGGGCUAACCCAUACAGGCCACAGAGCUACAUUGAUGUCAGGACAUUCACUUCCUUGGGCGCAAUUUACUUGUAACCAUAUAGUGAUGUUCUUGCAUCCCACGAAGCUGCAAGUGCAUAGCAUGAGCAAGGCGUUUAGUUAAAUAAUCUUUUUGGAUUGUAAGUAGUAUUGAGUGUCGUUAAAAUCACCACAGUACCAUGCAGAUUUUCCGGUUCCUGUGUUACAUGAUGCAUUCGAGAAUCUAAAUAUCCAUCUUUUCUUGCGUACAAGCACUGUGAACCAUUGGAUGUUGGACAUGUUGGUUGGAAGGAAAAUCUGCAUGGAAAACUAUUUAGUAAUUUGAUUGAAGUGCAAAAAAAAAUGACAUGAAGUAUACGUGUAAGGCAGGGUAGUAUGUUACCAUAUCAUGAUAGAGGUGGUUUUCUCCCUUUUCUGUUCCAUACUUGCCAGCUAGAAUCCCCCUCGUGGUAACUAUGUUAUGUCCCAUCCUUUUGCGGUAUGCCAACAUCCAACGCUCUUUCGAUGAACACCUUCAUGUGUUCUCAUAUGUCAACAAGGCUAUUUAGUCGGAUGAUCUCAAUAAGAGCAUCGAUGACCUCAAAAACAAGAAAUUGAGUUAGUUGUAAAACAACACCGUAGAAAAAUAGUAUUUUGUAAAAUCACUUACAUCAUCAUCUAACCAUAUCUCAUGUGGUGUAGGAACAUUUUCUUCAUGGUGAUAUCAGCAGUGUGCACCAUCUCCAUUUCUGAAGUGUAUGUUGACAUAUUCGGUUAUUAGGUGCUCCUUAAAUUUAUCUACAUCCUCCUUAAAUUCCAAUAUGUCCUUCGCAGUUUCCUUAAUUAAGUUUCUUUUCCCAUGGUUAUUCCUCUUAUUAUUCUUCGCAACCCUUUGCUUAACCUUGCUACUGUCAUUCGUUUCUUUAGAAAGAGAUAGAUGUUGUUUUUUCCUUCUCUUCAUCUCAAGUGUAUAAAACUGAAAAACAUAAUUCUUGAGUAAUGGUGAUUAUUUUUCUUAUACGAUCACUUUUGACGCACUUCCCUAUGGAGUCCACAUCACUUUCAGUUGACUAGUUUGUUUUCUAGUUGUUGUGAAUAAGUAUCACUCUUGUUGGCGGAUGUGGAUUUCUACUUUGUAAUCUGUAAUAAGGAGAAUGUGUUAGUAAUAUAUACGAUAAUAAAAUAAAAUCCAAAUUUGAGGGACAUCUCACCUCAAGUUCUUCAUGAGGUCGAUGGACCUGUAUUGGAUUAUGUAUCCGACCAUACCGGUUACGCCUAUUAGUUUGGCGUGCACAUAUUCUUCUGAGUUGAUAGGAUUUUAGUAACCGACAGUGGGUAGGUAUGGACGGGCAGGCUCUAGAGAGAACAGGUACGUGUGCAACCUACUACUCCCUCCAUCCCAAAAUAUAGUGGGUAUUAUAUUUAUUUAUUUUAAGUAAAACCUUGCAAACUUCAAUCAUGUUUAUAGAAAAUUUUGUUAACAUGUACAAUACCAAAUAAGUACCAUUAAUUUACAAUGAAAUAUAUUUUCAUAUGGUAUAUAUUUGGUACUGUGGAUAUAGAUAAGUUUCUCAUUAAACUUGGUCAUCAAUCUCUAGCAAUGUAUAUCAGAGCAAACAUCGGCAGCUUUUCGGAAAGAUCAAAAUACUUUUGUGCUUCCUCGUCCCAUGUUCGUCCAUAUGUCCUCGUUUUCUUCGCUCUACCCCCACACUAGGUGUGUAGGAAACUUUGCAGCAGCCCCAUGUGGUGGAAACUGCUCAUCUGAAUUCAACUCUCGACUUGAUAUGGGUACUCGUAUCUUCCUGAAUUUAUUUUCAGCUUUUCAGCCCUAACACUCAAUGCGAGGUGUUUCUCAAAACUGUAGAGAAAUAAAAAUAAGUUUCUUGAGCACACUGUCUUAUUUCCCUUUUCAGGCAUAUACAUGUGUCUGUACAACUACUCACUAUGUUUUUAAGCUUUUCUUGUUCUAUUAAAUAAGCCAGAAAUUGCUGCCCAAUUAAUUAACAAAAACAUGGAAAUUUUGAUACAUUCAUGACCAAACCAACUCACACCGAAUACAGUUGGGCCAAGUUUUGGGCGGUGUGGCAAAUCAAGGUGAAUCUGUUCCGUUGAAACCAGUUUACCUCUCACCUAUUAGAAAGAAGAAAUCACAACUACUACGGGGAGCAGACCCGAGACUUCCACCAGAGGUAAAGAAGUACACCACAAGAUCAUGUUCUAGUUUCAUUGCCCUACAUGCCAAUUAUCAACAGCCAUCGUUACCUUGUCUCCAACAAGAUAAGGUCAACACCGUCAAAUAUGUGGAAAAAUUGGAGCUGUAACCCAACUUCCAACCAUUUAACUAUGCCAUGCGCUGACUGCGGACACCACUAGCUUUCAAGUGUUUAGGAGAGUCCUGAUUUCCCGUUAGUACAGUACGAGAGACCCAAACAGCAUAAAUGUGAGCACUAGGAUUGAAACCCUGGUGGCCAGAGUCAUGCCCCCACAACAACCAGCGGUGCCAGGAACCAAAAGAUGUGGGUUCAAGUGCAUAAAUCUCUCUAAAAUGUCCUAAACUUUUGCACAAAUAUGAAUAAAACAAAGCUUGCAACCAAAAAAUGUGAGUUUAGACCCCACAGCUUACACAGAAUCACCCCUACCCACGACUCCACCACCUCACCAAGAGGUGGUUCACACACCAUUGAAUUCAUAUUUAAAAGAAUUUUCUAAUGGUAUACUUGAAGGAAAUAUGCCCUAGAGGCAAUAAUAAAGUUGUUAUUUAUAUUUCUUUAUAUCAUAAUAAAUGUUUAUUAUUCAUGAUAGAAUUGUAUUAACCGGAAACUUGAUACAUGUGUGAAUACAUAGACAAAACAGAGUGUCCCUAGUGUGCCUCUACUUGACUAGCUCGUUAAUCAAAGAUGGUUAAGUUUCCUGACCAUAGACAUGUGUUGUCAUUUGAUGAACGGGAUCACAUUAUUAGGAGAAUGAUGUGAUGGACAAGACUCGUCCGUUAACUUAGCAUAAUGAUCGUUAAGUUUUAUUGGUAUUGCUUUCUUCAUGACUUAUACAUGUUCCUUUGACUAUGAGAUUAUGCAACUCCCGAAUACCGGAGGAACACCUUGUGUGCUAUCAAACGUCACAACGUAACUGGGUGAUUAUAAAGAUGCUUUACAGGUGUCUCUGAAGGUGUUUGUUGGGUUGGCAUAGAUCGAGAUUAGGAUUUGUCACUUCGAGUAUCGGAGAGGUAUCUCUGGGCCCUCUCGGUAAUGCACAUCGUGAUAAGCUUUGCAAACAAUGUGACUAAUGAGUUAGUUACGGGAUGAUGCAUUACGGAACGAGUAAAGAGACUUGCCGGUAACGAGAUUGAACUAGGUAUUAGGAUACCGACGAUCGAAUCUCGGGCAAGUAACAUACCUAUGACAAAGGGAAUAGCUUAUGUUGUCAUUGCGGUUUGACCGAUAAAGAUCUUCGUAGAACAUGUAGGAACCAAUGUGAGCAUCCAGGUUCCGCUAUUGGUUAUUGACCGGAGAUGUGUCUCGGUCAUGUCUACAUAGUUCUCGAACCCGUAGGGUCCGCACGCUUAACGUUCGAUGACGAUUUGUAUUAUGAGUUAUGUGUUUUGGAGACCGAAGAUUGUUCGGAGUCCCGGAUGAGAUCACGGACAUGGCGAGGAGUCUCGAAAUGGUCGAGAGGUAAAGAUUGAUAUAUUGGACGAUGAUAUUCAGACACCAGAAUGGUUCUGGAUCGUUUCGGGUAUUUUUCAGAGUACCAGGAGGUUACCGGAACNNNNNNNNNNNNNNNNNNNNNNNNNNNNNNNNNNNNNNNNNNNNNNNNNNNNNNNNNNNNNNNNNNNNNNNNNNNNNNNNNNNNNNNNNNNNNNNNNNNNNNNNNNNNNNNNNNNNNNNNNNNNNNNNNNNNNNNNNNNNNNNNNNNNNNNNNNNNNNNNNNNNNNNNNNNNNNNNNNNNNNNNNNNNNNNNNNNNNNNNNNNNNNNNNNNNNNNNNNNNNNNNNNNNNNNNNNNNNNNNNNNNNNNNNNNNNNNNNNNNNNNNNNNNNNNNNNNNNNNNNNNNNNNNNNNNNNNNNNNNNNNNNNNNNNNNNNNNNNNNNNNNNNNNNNNNNNNNNNNNNNNNNNNNNNNNNNNNNNNNNNNNNNNNNNNNNNNNNNNNGGAGAGGGGAGGCAGCCCACAAGGGGUGGCCGCGCCCCCUCCCAUGGGGAAUCCGAAUUGGACUAGGGGAGGGGGUGCGCCCCCCUUUCCUUCUAGUCUUCCCUCUCCCUUCCCCUUUCCCCCUCCGUAAGAAAGGAAGGGGGCCCGAAUAGGACUUGGAGUCACACUCGGUUUCCCCCCAUGGCGCGCCCCCUAGGCCGGCGGCCUCCUCCUUUAUAUACGGGGGCAGGGGGCACCCCAGGAAACAUCAAUUGUUCUCUUAGCCGUGUGCGAUGCCGCCUCCACAGUUUACUCCUCCGGUCAUAGCGUCGUAGUGCUUAGACGAAGCCCUGUGCGGAUCACAUCACCAUCACCAUCACCACGCCGUCGUGCUGACAAAACUCUUCCUCGACCCUCUGUUGGAUCAAGAGUUCGAGGGACGUCAUCGAGCUGAACAUGUGCUGAACUCGGAGGUGCCAUACGUUCGGUACUUGGUCGGUUGAAUCGUGAAGACAUUUAAGAAAUGUUCAAAAAAUUCUGAAUUUUUUUAUGAAAAACUUUGACAAAAGUCCUAAGAGCUUGUAAAAUUCCAUCAUAAAAUCACAUUUGUGGAAGAUGUGGCAAAAAGAACAUAAUUAGUGUUCCAAAAUACUUUGGAAAGUAGCAUCUUCACAGUAUCGGUUUUUUUUUUUUUUGCCAAAACUUUCACAAAUGUGAUUUCAUGGAGAAACUUUGCAAACUCUAAGAACAUUUGUCAAAGUUUGCCAUAAAAAAUCAGAUUAUUUUGAAUAUUUUUAAAUAUUUUUUGAUUUUACUGUUCACCCGAUUCCAUUUGAGCUCGGAUGCUGAACUUCACGUCGUCUAAUAUCAUAUCAUUCACAAAAACAACUUGCCACUAUAUUGUACUCCCACGUUAAAGAGAAACUCCACCAUAAAAGAUGGAACCUCAUUAAGGUCGAGCCACAUAUUUUUUUAUAUUCAGCUUAACCAAUUAAAUACACUAGUUUUUUUACAUAUGAUUUAACCAACAAAAUACACCACUGAAUUCAUAUUUGAAAGAAACUUUUUUGUGACAUGACGCUGUGAUGAAACUUCAGGGAUAAACAAGCAUCUACGGCAAUAGUCAUUAAGAAACCACACAAAAUAUGAGCAUCAGAUUCCGAAGGAUUUCAGACACAGUAGAACAACCGAGAUAAAACAGCAUAUGGAAAAGAACACCACCUCACUUAAACCAAUAAUAAUGCCAUUAUUUCUGGGCAAAAGCAAACGCCGCCUCUCCCAACCCUCACAAGGCUCAAAACAUAACCAUAAUAACAAAUCCUCCGCCUAAGAGACAGCAUGUAAGAUAAUAGAAGGGAAACAGGAUAGUUGAUAAGAGUUCCCGUUGGUGCCGCUGCUCCGACUCAGGCUCAGGCCAGCCGCUAGUCGUGCUGGACACACUAGUACCGGUAGGCCGCAGGCUUGUACGGACCCUCAACUGGGAUGCUAAUGUAGUCAGACUGGGACUUGGUGAGCUUGGUCAGCCUGGCGCCGAGCUUGCCCAAGUGGAGGGCCGCGACCUUCUCGUCGAGGUGCUUGGGGAGAACGUACACCUUCUUCUCGUACUUGCCAGUGGCCUUCUCGUUCCACAACUCAAGCUGAGCAAUAACCUGCAACAAGCGCAAAAUUGGAUGUCAGCACAUGGUUGUACCAGUUAUUAACUGAUUGGUUGACAGGAGACUGCGCAUUAAUCAUACCUGGUUGGUGAAUGAGCAGGACAUGACGAAGCUGGGGUGGCCAGUGGCACAUCCAAGGUUCAUCAGACGACCCUCAGCAAGAACAAUGAUGCCAGUCUUGGUCUCGGGGAAGACCCAGCGGUCAGUCUGGGGCUUGAUGGUGAUGCGCUUGACACCAGGGUAGGUCUCAAGGCCGUUCAUAUCGAUCUCAUUGUCGAAGUGACCAAUGUUGCAGACAAUGGCGUUGUUCUUCAUCUUCCUCAUGUGGUCAACCAUGAUGAUGUCCUUGUUUCCGGUGGUGGUCACAAAGAUAUCAGCCUCAGAGACAACAUCCUCCAAGGUGAGGAUCUGGAUGCCCUCCAUCAGGGCCUGAAGGGCACAGAUGGGGUCAAUCUCUGUCACGAUCACACGGGCACCAGCCUGCUUGAGUGCGGCCGCACAGCCCUUGCCAACAUCACCAUAACCGCAGACCACGGCAACCUUGCCGGCGAUCAUAACAUCAGUGGCCCUCAUAAGACCAUCAGGGAGCGAGUGACGGCAACCGUAAAGGUUGUCAAACUGUUGAGGAGAAACAUAUAUUAGUGUUUUAUUACAACAUAGAUUAGUAAUUGUUAGCAAGGUGAAAAUACCAUUGAAUUCUACCUUUAGAUUAAAACAGAACAAGAGCACAUUUUAAAAAAAACUACACCGGGCAAAUCACAUAAUUCAGUGCAUGGCACAGUAGUGUUUCAUGCUCAAAUGAGUGGAGUGAAAUAAUAAUAUUUGGUAGACAGAUUACUCUAUAAUUAGACCCUCCCAGGCCGUCAGAUCCAGAAAACAAUGCGACUAAUGUUAUCAUUAGUUAGUCAACAACCAGCGUAACAAACACUAAACCCAAAGACAAAGAUACAGAUCCAGGCCUAGUACUCCACCGCUGCUUCACCACGAAGCAGCAUCUAAACUAGGCAACAACGAGAUCUAGAUGUUACAAUAUCAGAUCUACAACAUAAACAUGUAAACUACUACAACAAUACUACUACGCUCAAACAAGUAGAAACGGAGCAUCAGAUCUGAAAUGGAAAAUGGGAACCAGGGAAGGAAGUAUACCUUGCUCUUGGUGACGGAGUCGUUGACGUUGAUGGCGGGGAAGAGGAGGGUGCCGGACUCCUGCAUCUGGUAGAGCCUCUUGACGCCGGUGGUGGUCUCCUCGGACACGCCGACGAGCCUCUCCUUCAUCUUGCGGUACUUGUGGGCGUCGGUCUUGAGCCCGUCGCGGAUGAUGGUGAGGACGAUCUUGAACUCGGGGUUGUCGGUGGACUCCGGGUCGGGGACCUUGCCGGACUUCUCGAACUCCUCCUCGGCCUUGACGCCCUCGUGGAUGAGCAGCGUGGCGUCGCCGCCGUCGUCGACGAUGAGGUCGGGGCCGCCGCCGGCGCCCCAGUCGAGGCAGCGCUCGGUGCACCACCAGUACUCCUCGAGGGUCUCGCCCUUCCAGGCGAAGACGGCGGCGGAGUCGCGGGCGAUGGCGGCGGCGGCGUGGUCCUGGGUGGAGAAGAUGUUGCAGGAGCACCAGCGGACCUCGGCGCCGAGGGCGGUGAGGGUCUCGAUGAGCACGGCGGUCUGGAUGGUCAUGUGGAGGGAGCCGGAGAUCCGGGCGCCCUUGAAGGGCUGCGAGGGACCGAACUCGGUGCGGCAGGCCAUGAGGCCGGG
rnacentral:lncRNA from 1 species